rnacentral:lncRNA from 1 species
UUUACAAAAGUUAUCAUCUAACAUUAAGAAAAAAAACUUAUUAGAAUAGUUGUAAUCUAAGAACUUGCAUAGAGAAUGGCCAAAUAAAUUGUACUGAGGUCUAACCAAUAUUAUGCUUUUUAAUUGGUUGGGUAAAAUAAAGGUUUUGAUCUUAUAUUAUUUGUAAAAGUCUUUUCCCCAAGAAACAUGUAUAAUUGUGGUCACAUGUAAUGAGUCCAUACAUCUAAAUUGUUGAAUGUGCUAUUGCAUAUUCUAAGUACUUUAAUGAAAUUUAUUGGAUUAAAUUCUCACCUAGUUGGUCUACUUGACAUUAAAUUUUUAGAGUAAAAAAAUAGUUUCCAUAUCCAAUUAUUGUCACAUUUAAUUAGUACAUCUAAUUAAGUUCACAAUUAUGAAGUCAGUUUACAGAAUGUGGAAAUUAUUUGUUUAUCGCAUGGUUGCACUAUUUACUUGUUUUUAAAUAUUCAAGGGAUCACAUAUCCAAAACAUUAAUUUGUUGUUAGCUACGAGAAGUGUUUUGAUCGUUGACAAAAGUAAAAAAUAUUUCAAUAAUACUCCACUUGAGAUUUAUGUUUUUAUUUCCCCAAGUCUUUCAUAGUCAACUAGUAAAGCAAUUUGAUUAGAAAAGCUCUUCGUCUUUAUGUAUAUGUCACCUUAACUUGGCAUGCUCUUCUCCUCUAAACACAAACCAAACCUAGAAGACAUACUGUUAACAGUUCCCAAACAAACAAUGUAUUCCCUCACCACUUCUUGUCUGGUCUUGUUCUUCCUCUUCUUUUCAUUCCACCCUCUUCCUUGUGUUGUAAGUAAAGAAGACCUUGGUUGGUGUAAGGCUCUGUUCCAAUGUGGUAAUCUCACUGCUGGUUUCCCCUUCUGGGGUGGGAAUCGUCUCAAACCUUGUGGUCAUCCGUUACUGGAGCUUCGCUGCCUCAAAGACGGCAUCACCUCUCUAAGCAUCUCAAACCAUGAGUACAAUGUCUUUCAUAUAGAUCAAACACGUAAUACUCUUAGACUUGCUAGAACAGAUCUUUUAGGUUCUUUUUGUUCCGCUAAAUUCAAAACCGCAACCUUGCCCCACGAGAUCUUUAAGCUUUCCCCAACGUAUAAGAGCCUCAAUGUUUUAUACAACUGUGAUCCUAAGUUAUCUUACCGCUCAAGUUAUACAUGUCCAGAUCUAGGUCUUUUUUCAAUGUCUCAAAGCCUUGAUUACAAGUAUUCCUGCCAAGACAGUUUCACAGUUAACGUUCCAACGAGUUUUGUUCCAGAGGAGAAAGAGUUAAAUUUGACCAAUUUAGAAAGUACUCUACGAGAAGGGUUUGAGAUGAAGCUAGUGAUCGAUGAGAUACCAUGUCAAGAAUGUUCAUCCACUCAAGGAAUCUGUGGUUUCAGCAGUACCACACAGGUUUGCUGCAACGUAACCUCACCAUCUGGUGGUGUUAGUUGCCUUCCACACCCUCAACCUAGUGGUAAGUUCUUAGACUAAUCCUUUGUCACCAGUUUCCUAAACAUAAGAGGAUGGUCUUUGUGAUCCCAUUUUUUGUUUCAUUUUUCAGCUGAUGAGCUUAAGCGACGCUGCAGCGAAAAGUUUAGCUGCGGAGAUCAGCGCGAUCUCUAUUACCCUUUUUGGGUACCUGGCAGAGAAUACUGUGGCCACCCUGACUUCAAACUCGACUGUAGAGGAGAAUUAGCAGAACUUAACAUCGCCUCAGUGAAGUUCAGAGUCUUAAAUAUGAGCAAUGAUUCUAUUAUCAUAAGGCUAGCCAGAUCAGAUUAUAUCGGCGAUCUUUGUCCUUCAAAUCCACUAAAUGAACCGCUUAUCGAAAACGUCCUUCAGUUCAGUUCUGACACAGAGCUGCUGACAUUAUACUACGAAUGCCAACUAAAUUCAUCGGUUAGUUCGGCUACUAGCUACACUGGAGAGUUUGGCUGUGAUAGCGGAAAAAGUUAUUAUGUAACUAAAAACCUCUCAUCACCUUUACUUGACAGGUUUAGAGGCGUUUUAAACAACUUUAGGGGAAUGUGCAAAAGAAAAGUCAGUGUUCCUGCCUCUGGACCGGCUUUAAAAACACUUCAGGGAAAUCCAAAUACAUAUAAUCUACAAAAGGCUCUUGAACAGGGUUUCGAGCUCGAUAAUUCGAAUUGUUCCGUAUGUGUUUUGUCCGGCGGUUCUUGUGGAUAUAAUAGUCAGAACUCAAGUGUGUUUAUCUGCUAUUGUAAAGAUGGACCGCAAGACUAUCAAUGCGAUUUUGAAUUAAAUGGUAACAUAUCUUUUAUCUAUAGUUUAAAGUUUUUUAGUUGUCAAAGUUUUGUCUUCAAUUCCAACUUAUUUUGGUUUCUGGUUGUUUGCAGGUUUGUUUUUUCGGUUGUUACAGUAUCCAAUAGGUGCUUAACCUUCUUUGAAAGACUAAUUUUAUCAUCUUUGAGUUAAUGUUUGUUUGGUUUAUAUGCUGAUAAAUAUUACUUGUUUAUAUUGUUCUACAGUGUUACAGAUCAUUGGUAUUCUCAUUGGUAAGUUUGGUGCCUAGAGAUAUUUCAAAUUGCUUUGAUCAAAAAGAGUUACUAAUUAAAGAUUUCCUCUGUUUUUUUUUCUUUUCUUAUAGUUUUGUGUACAAUAGUAGGUAUAAUUGCAUGCUUGGUGUUAUUGUGUCCUUGUUGCAAAGUCCAAAUAUUCCGGAAGAGAAAAACAUCAGAUGAUCGGAGACAAGAGAAGCUAAAGGCCCUUAUUCCACUAAAACAUUAUACUUAUGCACAAGUGAAGAAAAUUACAAAGUCAUUUGCGGAAGUGGUUGGGAAAGGCGGAUUUGGCAUAGUUUAUAAAGGAACCCUUUGUGAUGGUCGUAUGGUUGCGGUGAAAGUACUGAAAGAAUCAAAGGGUAAUAAUAGUGAAGACUUCAUCAAUGAAGUUUCCAGCAUGAGCCAAACAUCUCAUGUCAACAUUGUUUCCUUGCUUGGUUUCUGUUCUGAAGGUUCAAAGAGAGCAAUUAUUUAUGAAUUUUUGGAGAAUGGGUCGCUCGAUAAGUUCAUCUCGGAGAAUAUGUCAACGAAGUUGGAUUUAACGACACUCUAUGGGAUCGCGCUAGGAGUAGCUCGUGGUCUAGAGUACUUGCAUUAUGGCUGCAAAACAAGGAUUGUGCAUUUCGACAUUAAACCUCAAAAUGUACUGUUGGAUGAUAAUCUCUCGCCCAAAGUUUCUGAUUUCGGACUUGCUAAAUUGUGUGAGAAGAAGGAAAGCAUCUUGUCAAUGAUGGAAACAAGAGGUACAAUAGGAUACAUUGCACCAGAGAUGGUCUCUCGAGUUUAUGGAAGUGUUUCUCACAAGUCCGAUGUUUAUAGCUACGGAAUGUUGGUCUUCGAAAUGUUGGGUGCACGGAAGAAAGAAAGAUAUGGUCACACUUUUGCAUCGGACGCUAGCUCAAUGUACUUUCCAGAAUGGAUCUAUAAGGAUCUUGAGAAGGGAGACAAUGAGGAUCUUGAAAAGGGAAACAUUGGAAAGUAUAUUGGGAAUGGAAUCAGCAGUGAAGAAGAGGAGCUAGCAAAAAAGAUGACAUUGGUGGGAUUGUGGUGUAUUCAGUCUUCUCCAUCAAACCGUCCACCGAUGAAUAGAGUAGUAGAGAUGAUGGAAGGAAACUUGGGUGCUCUUGAAGUGCCACCAAGACCUGUUUUGCAGCAAAUUCCUGUCGUACCUCUUGAUCUUGAAUCUUCUUGGAUAUCAGAAGAAACUUCAAGCAUCUCUGAGAUUGAAAAUAAUAACCUUCCAAGUUUGUGAAAAAAAUACUGUUGUAAAGGUCAUAAUCUCUAGAGAACAUAUUCAAUAAAUAUAUGUCUGUAAAUGUUAUUUGCAUAAUAAAUAUAGAACCUGUAUCAGAAUAUACAAGAACACAAUUCACAGGUUGAUACUUUAUUCAUAAGUUUAAUAAAACUCUGAAAACAAAACAAAUAACCUUUUCCGCUUUAACUAAGAAUGAGUCUCGCAAAUCUUUAGAGUAAUUUUGCUCCUUUUGAUCGACCUCGCAUAUAUUACCUUACGGUUAACUGUUUCGAGUAUUAAAUACUCGACCAACCAGCACCUUAUUACGAAUACCCAGGCAAACAAAAACACCUGAUAGUCAAAACCAAUAUAGAAAAAAACAGAGAGAAUAUUUGGUUAGUGACUUUGUAAUAUAAACCAAAAAGCAGCAAACUAAGUAAUGAGAAUCAAGAUCAACAUCUCUGGACAGCAAACUAACCUAUGAGAAUCAAGAUCGACACAGCCCCUAUAGAAACAUUAAACAUGUAAAAAACAAUUGUUAGCAUAGAACCAAAGUAAAUCAUUAAAGAACAAUUAACUCAAAGAAGACAGUUUAUGUACUUAUGUACCUAUUAUCCAAGGAACAAAUGAUUCUGCAUCAAUCAAAUGGCAUCAAAGAUAAAGUUAAUACAGAACUUAAAAACCACAAAUGUGAAACUGAAGAUUGCUUUUUAUUUUUUUGGUAAAGUGAUCCAAUGAAAGAAACCUUACUCCUCUUAGAACCGCAUGUUAAGCUAUAGGGGUCUUUACAAUAGCAGAGAAACGUACUUGAGGUCUGAUUAUAUCCACAAGUACCCUCAGAGUCUAUGUACAUUGCAAAACAAAGUCCAAAUAUAUUAGAGAAAAAAUUAGAACAAGAAGAUAACUCUAUAUAUGAAACAUACCUUUAGGUGGAUGACACUUAACUCCUGGUGUUAAGUAUUCAUUGAAGACAUGACAUCUUCCAUGAGAGGAUAAACAUUCUUGACACACAUUAUCAUUGAUCGCCACUACCUUCACCUCAAAUCCUUUUCUUAAAACACUUUCCAAAUUCGUCACAUUCAACUCUUUCUCUGUUGUAACAAAACUUGUAGGAACCUUCACGGUGAAACUGGAACGGCAGCUCUCAGGAGUUUUUACAGUGGUUUCAGACACUGAGAUUGGACCAAUCUUGGGACAUGUAUAGCUAGAAAGAUCAGGAGGCAAAGAGGAGCAUUGGUAGAAUACGUUGACGCUCUUGUAAGUAGGUGAAAGCUCGAAAGUUUCGGGAGGUAAGGUUGUGUUUGUGAAUACAGAGGAGCAAAAAGAACCUAUAAGGUCUGGUUUGGUAAGUGUUAGAGUGUUGGAUGUUUGAUCUAUAUGGAGAACAGAGUACUUUUGGUUUGAGAUGGAAAGAGUGGUGAUGUUGUUUUUGUUGCAGUGAAGCUGAAGCAAUGGAUGACCACAAUCUUUGUGACGGUUCCCUCCAGAGAAAGGGAAACCAGCAGUGAUGUUACCACAUUGGAACAGAGUCUCACACCAGCCAGUUCCCUGAUUACUUGAAUCACAAGGAAGAAUGUGAAAUGAGUAGAAGAUUAAGAAUAUGACCAGACAAGAACUGGGAAGAAGUUGGUACAUGAUUUGCUUGGUUCAUGAACAAUGUGUCUUCUUAGUUUUUGUGUUGAGAGAAAGAGAGAGAGAGAGACAGAAGCAGUCCUCAGGACCAUGUCAAGUGGGGUGAGAGUGACAUGAGGACCAUCCGAACAUGUCAAGUGGGGUGUCACAUGUCAAGUUGAAACUUCUUUCUUUUUUCAUUAUAUUAAACUUUAGAAAUUGUUUACCAUAGCAAACUGUAAAAAGCUUUAGUUAAUGAAAUUGCGGGGAACACUAAUAGUAGUACUAGUGCAAGAAUCAUGAUGAUACAUGAAGUAUGAAAAGUUGUCCCACGUAAUUGAUGGUUACGGAACACUAAUAUUAGGCACCGUAAUGCUGAUGAAUCAUGAAUUCAUGAUGUGUCGUACGUGAAGUUGAUGGGCCGUUAUCAACCUCAUUAAAAAAAAAAUAGUUAUAAAAUACACCAAUUAAAUAUCUUCCAGAAAAGAAUAUACAAAUUUCUUUUUUCUUGAAUACUAAUACAUCAAUUAAUAAACAGUUCAUAUCAUGGCAAAAGAAAACUUGGUAAAUCCAAUAUUGCCCUCAUCUUUUGUGAAUGUUUCAUUGUCCUUAAGCAUUUAAGAGUUCUUCAUAGUCCUACCGAAAAAACCGAAUUGAAUGUGUUUAAGUUAAAGGAACCGAAACUAAAUAAAAACCAAAAAAACAAAAAUUCUAGAAUAUCCAAAUACCUAAUUUGAAACUGAACAAAAAUAUCCAACAAUACUAUAAAAACACCGAAAUAUCCAAACCGAAAUACCACAAAAUAUCUAAACUUGUCGUUUAGAACCAAAACUCAAAUAUAUCCGAAAAUAAUUUGGGUUUAGAUCGGUUUUUCUUUCAAGAUCUAAAACCAAAACAAAACCAAACCGAAUCUAACCAAAAUAAUAAUAAUAAAAAAGCAAAUGGAUAAUAAUCUCAACAUCUUAAUGAUCAGGACCGAAACGUUGAUCCGAACGAGGACUGGUUCUUAGUUUGUUAACAAUUUAAACGUUUGUUAAGAAUUUAUUCAAAAGGGGAAACUAAAGGAACCAAUUUAGUUAGUUGUCGCCUUCUCGAGUGUCACCAAUUUAGAUAGUGAUAUAUGAGACUCCUGACGUAGUAAAGAAGAAGACUUAACUAAACAAACUUAAGUUCUUUCAGAUGUUAUCUACUAGGUGAACAAUAACAAAUUGUAAUUAAUGACUACAAGUCAACAAGACAUCCAAAUAAAGCAUUUAAAUGAAAAUAACAUAUGAGUAAACAAAGAUGGCCAAAUUUUGAUUUGAGCAUUUAAGGACUACAACCUAAAAAAAUGACAACUUUUCCAAGAAAUCAUCAUUAACUUUUCUCUUCGUUUUCCUUUGUUAAUUCAGUUUGAAUAUCUUCAACAACAACAUACAGUAAGAAUGAUUUAAUGAAUAUUGUUGGGGAAACGAUGAGAUCCAUAAAACUAUACAUGAAGCAAAAGUUGUUUAAUUACCUUUGAAAGAUUAAUGAAUUAAAAUGGUGAAUUUGGUGAACCUAUCGUGCAAUGAAAGUUUUUGAAUUUUUUGACAGGUCUAAUCUUAUUAUAAUGUGCAUGCAUUUACUGUUAAAAUUUUAGUAAAAAUUUUCCUUCGUUAAGAUUUGGUUUAGUAAUUUAUAAAUGUUUCCUUAUAAAGGUUGUAAAGUCUUAUAACGUGAGUAUCGAUAAGUUUAGUCAUGUAGAAUUCUUUUUUUCCGUGCACAUGGCUUGUAUUUUCACUUAUUUCGGGACUCUUGAUACUAAGUAGUAUUAAAUGAUUAUGGUUAUGAUGAUACUUAUCAUUAUUGUUGUACGUGCAUGUCUUCAUUAUUGGAUCAAGACUUUUUUUAUCCCGCCUCUUCUCUCACCUUGGAGGCUCCAAGUUUCACACUCUUUCUUUUAAAUGAUGGCAGAUGGUACUGAUGACUAUCACAAAUCUCCACUUCUUUGUAGUGCGCAAUGCUAGGAGGACGAGAUGAUGAUCCGGUCGGGACAAUGAGCGGGAGAGUGAGUUUGGCCUCGACCAGCCACAGGAGUUUGGUGGGAGCUUCUAAAAGGUUUAAAGAUGUGUUUGUGUCUCAGGCAGCGGACGAGGUGUUUGGGAAGAGCGAAAGGCAGGAGGAAGAGGACGUCGAGCUCCGUUGGGCCGCGAUUGAGAGAUUGCCGACCUUUGAUCGGCUACGUAGAAGCAUGUUGCCACAAACAAAGGUCAAUGGUAAGAUUGAGCUUGAGGAUGUUGAUAUCUCAAGGCUCGAACCUAAGGAGAAGAAGCAACUUAUAGAUAUGAUUUUGAGUGUUGUUGAAGAAGACAAUGAAAAGUUUCUACGUGGAUUGAGAGAAAGAACAGACAGGUAUAGUAUAUAUAUUACAAAAACAAAAAUUUAGACAAACCCUUUAUUUAUAAUAUUUUAGCUGAAAAUUUUGGAUUUUAUUUUUCGAAAACAGAGUUGGGAUCCAAGUUCCAAAAAUUGAAGUUAGGUAUGAGAACAUUUCAGUGGAAGGAGAUGUGUGUAGUGCAAGUAGAGCACUUCCAACUCUACUCAAUGUUACCUUGAAUACAAUAGAGGUUCAAAUUUUUUAAUUUAUUUCUAUUGGGUUGUGUUAUUUUGUUAAAAAAAAUAAGAUCUAAGUUUCACAAAUAAGAUCUCUCAACUCCAAAUUAUAUAUAUUCAAAAUUUAUGACACUUAUAAUGGGGUAAUUUCGAAGCUCUUAUUUAACAUAUAAACAAUGAUGAAGCUUUACUUAAUUUUUGUUUUUUUGUUUUAUGUAUGUAGAGCAUUCUAGGAUUCUUCCACUUCCUUCCAACUAAAAAGAAGAAGAUUCAGAUACUUAAAGAUAUCAGUGGCAUUAUAAAACCAUCAAGGUAACUAAAGAAAAUGUGAAUGUGUUGCGUUGCCAUAGUAUUUGAGUUUGAGAUACUAUAUUGUUGAGCAUGUCCAGGAUGACCUUGUUACUUGGUCCACCAAGUUCAGGCAAAACAACUUUGUUACAAGCUUUGGCUGGGAAGCUCGAUGAUACCCUCCAGGUUUGUUAUCUAUCAGACGUUAAUAUAAUAAACUCAAAGCUCUUAGUUGAGAUUUUCUGACCCGGAAAUGGCAAAUAGAUGUCGGGGAGGAUAACUUAUUGCGGUCAUGAGUUUCACGAGUUUGUUCCUCAAAAGACGUGUGCUUACAUUAGUCAACAUGACCUUCACUUUGGAGAAAUGACGGUGAGAGAGACACUGGAUUUCUCGGGACGAUGUCUAGGUGUUGGGAUUAGGUACCAGUUGAUGGCUGAGCUCUCACGGAGGGAAAGAGAAGAGGGAAUUAAACCAGACCCUAAAAUUGAUGCGUUCAUGAAAUCUAUUGCGAUAUCAGGGCAAGAAACUAGUUUGGUUACAGAUUAUGUACUUAAGGUAAUUAAGUUACUUGUGUUUUCUCUAACAAAGUAAAAAUAAAAAUAUUUUGAGCUUAUCUAUGGUUAAUGUCAAUUUGAUAGAUACUUGGUCUAAACAUAUGUGCUGACAUACUUGUUGGAGACGUAAUGAGACGAGGUGUUUCUGGUGGACAGCGAAAACGUCUAACAACAGGUAAAGUUUUGAGUAUUACAUGCAUAUGUUCACUUUGAUAUAACCAUGUUUCAUUACAGUAACAAUGUAGACGUGUUCGUAAACUUGGAUUGCUCUUAAUCUUGAUUGAGCAGGAGAGAUGUUGGUAGGACCAGGAAAAGCUCUCUUCAUGGAUGAAAUAUCAACAGGUUUGGAUAGUUCCACAACAUUCCAAAUUUGCAAGUACAUGAGGCAACUAGUUCAUAUCUCGGAUGUCACAAUGAUUAUAUCACUUCUACAACCUGCACCAGAGACUUUUGAGCUAUUCGACGACAUUAUCUUACUCUCAGAGGGACGAAUCGUCUACCAGGGCUCACGGGACAACGUUCUUGAGUUCUUUGAGUACAUGGGUUUCCAAUGUCCUGAAAGGAAAGGCGUUGCAGAUUUCUUGCAAGAAGUAACAUCUAAGAAGGACCAAGAACAGUAUUGGGACAGGAAAGAACAACCUUACAGCUAUGUGUCCGUAAGUGAUUUCUCAAGCGGGUUUAACUCUUUUCACACCGGGCAAGAACUCACUUCAGAAUUCAGGGUUCCUUAUGACAAAGCUAAAACCCAUUCUGCUGCACUAGUCACACAAAAGUAUGGUAUAUCAAACUGGGAACUCUUCAAAGCAUGCUUUGAUAGAGAAUGGCUACUUAUGAGACGCAACUCCUUUGUGUAUGUGUUUAAGACCGUCCAGAUAACCAUCAUGUCUUUGAUUACCAUGACGGUCUAUCUCAGGACAGAAAUGCAUGUCGGCACGGUGCAAGAUGGUCAAAAGUUUUAUGGUGCUCUUUUUUUCAGCUUGGUCAAUGUAAUGUUUAAUGGACUAGGUGAACUAGCAUUCACUGUAAUGAGGCUCCCAGUGUUUUACAAGCAGAGAGACUUAUUGUUCUAUCCUCCAUGGGCUUUCGCCUUACCCGUAUGGCUUCUGAAGAUUCCGUUAUCUAUAAUCGAAUCAGGAAUAUGGAUCGGUCUUACAUAUUAUACAAUCGGUUUUGCUCCUUCUGCUGUAAGGUACAUUAGCUUUUUCUUCUAGUCCUCAGGAAGAUACUAAGAAAAUUUCUUCAUAUGCUUAUAUUUUCAGUUACUUGAACUAACCAAAAAUUGUAUACCAUUAGGUUUUUCCGGCAGUUGUUGGCAUACUUCUGCGUGAAUCAGAUGGCUCUUUCUUUGUUUAGAUUGAUUGGAGCCAUUGGAAGAACUGAAGUAAUCUCUAACUCAAUAGGGACCUUCACAUUGCUAACUGUAUUUACUCUUGGAGGCUUCAUUAUUGCUAAAGGUAAGCAAAUGAUCCUCAAACAUCAUAUAAACAUCAUCCCAUUUUGUAGUGUCUCUUAGAUAUCAUUUUCAACUAUCUCUAUGAUAUUUUUAAAGUAUAAAAACAUAUUUUACAUUUUUCGAUUCACAGAUGAUAUGCAACCGUGGAUGACUUGGGCUUAUUAUUUGUCCCCUAUGAUGUAUGGACAAACUGCUAUUGUUAUGAAUGAAUUUCUCGAUGAGCGAUGGAGCAGUGUAAGAUUUCACCAAGUGUUUUUCUUGUUCACUACUCUGUUACCAAUAGUGAUGAAAAUAUGUUCUGUUACAUGAUGCAGCCUAACUAUGAUACCACCAUCAACGCGAAAACAGUUGGAGAAGUCUUACUUAAGAGCCGAGGCUUCUUCACGGAGCCAUAUUGGUUUUGGAUCAGUAUUGUGGCGCUUCUUGGAUUUUCUCUGUUGUUCAAUAUCUGUUACAUACUAGCCUUGAUGUAUUUGAAUCGUAAGUGCUCUUACUUCUAAGUUUCAAGUUAUUUUAGACUAUUAAAGAGAAUCAUUAUUUAGUUGACAUGGUCUUGAAACAAUAUAUAUAUCUUCAGCUAUUGGUAACUCCAAAGCUACAGUUGUGGAAGAAGGUAAAGAAAAACAGAAAGGAACAGAAGGUUAUCUUUGACAACUCUAAUCUUUAUACAGCUAUCUUUUCUUACUCGAAUAUUAUGUCGGUUUCGCACUAGAUUAUGUUUCUUGUUUUUCUGACUAGAUGCUUAGAAGUUGCAGGUUCUGUUGUGGAACUCAAUAUUUCUUUAAGUAAUGGUACAAAAAGAGGAUUGGUUUUACCUUUCCAACCACUUUCUCUUGCAUUCAACAAUGUGAACUACUAUGUGGAUAUGCCUGCAGUAAGCAACAUCAUCUCAUACUAUUUAGACGUCACCAGUUACGUUAGUCUUAAAUUUCAUAAGCUCUUCCCUUCAAAAUAUUGCAGGAAAUGAAGGCUCAAGGAAUUAAAAGCGAUCGCCUUCAAUUACUAAGAGACGUUGGUGGAGCUUUCAGACCAGGCAUAUUGACAGCAUUGGUCGGUGUUAGUGGUGCAGGUAAGACAACGUUAAUGGAUGUCUUAGCUGGUAGGAAAACAGGUGGCUACACCGAAGGGAGUAUUAGCAUCUCUGGUUACCUUAAGAAGCAAGAAACAUUUGCUCGAGUCAGUGGUUACUGUGAACAAAAUGAUAUCCAUUCUCCACAUGUUACUGUUUAUGAAUCUCUCAUCUAUUCAGCUUGGCUUCGUCUUUCAGUUGAUAUAGAUGCCAAAACACGAGAGGUAAUAUUAUGAAAAAUCAUAAUCGCACGCAAGACUUUAUAAACAAGUAAACUCAUUUGCUUAAUUUAUGUGAUUGAUAGAUGUUUGUUGAAGAAGUGAUGGAUUUGGUUGAGCUCAAACCCCUUAGAAACUCUAUAGUUGGCCUUCCUGGAGUAGAUGGUCUUUCAACAGAACAGAGGAAAAGGCUUACUAUUGCAGUUGAAUUGGUAGCUAACCCAUCAAUAAUCUUCAUGGAUGAACCAACUUCUGGUCUUGAUGCAAGAGCUGCUGCUAUUGUCAUGCGCACUGUUAGGAAUACCGUAGAUACCGGAAGAACUGUUGUUUGUACAAUUCACCAGCCUAGCAUCGACAUUUUCGAAUCCUUCGAUGAGGUUUGCCUCGAAAAAAUCCUUUUUUGGUCAAAGAAACAGAACAAAUUUUUUUUUUUUUUUUAAAUCAUCCUUGGUUAAUGCAGCUUCUGUUGAUGAAACGAGGAGGCCAAGUUAUAUAUGCUGGAAGCCUAGGGCAUCACUCUCAGAAACUAAUUGAAUACUUUGAGGUGAAUCAUCUUUUUAAAAUAUCUUGGCCAUAGAUAUAUAUCAUGGAACUAACUGUAUCAAGAACUCUACUUGCAGGCUGUUGAAGGUGUUCCAAAGAUCAAAGACGGAUACAAUCCUGCGACGUGGAUGCUUGACGUUACUACUCCUUCAAUGGAGUCACAAAUGAGCUUGGACUUUGCUCAAAUAUUCACCAACUCCUCUCUUUAUCAGUAUGCUUACGAAAAUUGCUACUAAUAAAGCAGAGAAUUACACUGUCUUUUUUAAUCUGAACACUUAUGUUUAACACAGGAGAAAUCAAGAACUCAUCAAAGAGCUAAGUACACCACCACCUGGAUCAAAGGAUCUUUACUUCCGAACAAAGUAUGCGCAACCGUUUUUUACUCAAACUAAAGCUUGCUUCUGGAAGCAGUACUGGUCAUACUGGAGACAUCCUCAGUACAAUGCCAUCAGGUUUCUCAUGACAGUAAUAAUUGGUGUCAUGUUUGGUCUAAUUUUCUGGCAAAUGGGAACAAAAAUGUAAGACAUUUUUUCCCUUCCUCUUAUACAUUACUAAACCAUCAUUGUAUUGAAACGUGACGGAUUCAUCUUAAACCAAAACAGAGAGAACGAACAAGAUGUGAAUAAUUUCUUUGGAGCCAUGUAUGCUGCUGUUUUGUUUCUUGGUGCCACCAACGCUGCCACAGUUCAACCCGCAAUCGCCAUCGAGCGAACAGUUUUCUACCGCGAAAAAGCAGCUGGAAUGUACUCUGCCAUUCCCUAUGCAAUUUCUCAGGUUAAAAGCAUUCUAAUAUAAUUUUCUUAAAUAUAGUUUGACAACAAUCAGAACUCAAACCUAAAUGAAUUUAAAACAUGGUGCAGGUAGCAGUGGAAAUCAUGUAUAACACGAUACAAACGGGAGUUUACACGCUAAUCCUGUACUCAAUGAUAGGAUGCAACUGGACUGUGACCAAAUUCUUGUGGUUCUACUACUACAUGUUAACAAGCUUCAUCUACUUUACACUAUAUGGUAUGAUGCUUAUGGCCUUGACACCUAACUAUUAUAUAGCCGGAAUUUGCUUGUCUUUCUUCCUGAGUCUCUGGAAUCUCUUCUCCGGUUUCCUCAUCCCUAGACCGGUAUGUUAAGCUACUUACAUUUGAUACUAUCAACAAAAGUGUUUAAGAGCUUAAAUUUUAAGUUUUUUUUUUGUUUGGAUUGAAAUAUAGCAAAUACCAAUAUGGUGGAGAUGGUACUACUGGGCAACACCUGUGGCUUGGACAUUGUAUGGAAUCAUCACAUCUCAAGUAGGAGACAAGGACUCAAUGGUGCACAUCACUGGAAUCGGAGACAUAGGUCUGAAAACGUUGCUGAAAGAAGGAUUUGGGUUUGAAUACGAUUUCUUACCAGUUGUAGCUGUUGUCCACAUUGCUUGGAUCUUGCUCUUUCUUUUUGUCUUUGCCUAUGGUAUCAAGUUCCUCAACUUCCAAAGAAGGUGAAGAAACCUUGAUAGAAUAUAUAUUUGGAAAUCUUUAUAUAAAGGAUAGUGCUGAAAGUUAAUAAAUGCAUGUAAAAUUUCUGUGAAUUUUGCCCUCUAAUUAUUCUUUUGUCAGUUCGUUAGUAAUUUAAAACAGCCUAAAUUUUGCAUAUUAUAAUUUAUUACUUUGAUAUGUUGUAUAUGUGGUUUUUCAUGCUUUAAUAGUUUAUUACAACGAGGUUUCUUUAUUUACGCAACAAUCAUGGAUCAUACAUUGGUGUAAAACGAAAUACCCUCUGAGAUGACUAAUGGUUCUUGAAGAGGCUCUAUAAGAAUUUACAAAACUGGCCUAGGAAAAGCCAAUUAUAGUUAAAUACUUAAUUUGAUCAGUUCCUUACCACUAUCAUCGAAUAUUUAGGUUGAACAAGAACAAACAUAAAAGUUUAGUUAAUGACGUAGACGAAUACACGCCUCUGUUUCCAUCUUAAUACUACUCCACAUGACAUAAUAUUUUGUUUUGCUGCAACAAUUUCAAGAAAGUGAUCAUAUCAAUUUUGAAAUCUGUUUAUUCGAGGUUAAUGAAUUACAAUCAUUAUUUACAUUCACUUGUAGGUUUAUUGCUCUAACUUUUAAAAGUGCUAGAUAUAAAUUCACUUAAUAAUUUUUUUCUAACAUAGUACAAUAAAUAUUGUAGAUGUAAUGAGAUUUUUUUAGUAUAGAUGUUGAUUUAAAAUUAUAAUCUAUAGAGUUAAAACCAAAUAUAUGGCAAAGAAAGAAAAAUUCUUUGAGCUUCAUCCAUUACUAGGUAAAAGAGCCAAGGUCGUUGUUUUGGAUCAUACUUCUGCGUACACCGAGAUUUCCUCUGAAAGUGUAGACGAAUCUUGAAGAGGUACUCCCGGUAAAUGCAAAACAGGCUUAGGAGGGACUUCAAUAGCAUCUAAGCUUCCUUCCAUCAUCUCCACAACUCUGUUCAUCGAUGGUCUAUUUGAUGGAGACGACUGAAUACACCACAAGGCUACCAAGAUCAUCUUCUUUGUUAUUUCUUCUUCUUCUUUGGUUAGUUCAUCCCCAAGAAGCUUACAUUGCUUCCCAUUCUCAAGAUCUUUAUAGAUCCAGUCCGGGAAGUAAAUCGAGCUUGUAUUAGAAGCAUCCUUUUCGACUCGAUCUUUAUCUGUUGCACCGAUCAUUCCAAGAACCAACAUACCAUAGCUAUAUACAUCAGACUUGUGAGACACACUUCCAUAAGCUCGAGAGAUCAUCUCAGGUGCAAUGUACCCUAUUGUCCCUCUUGUAUCUAGCAGUGACAUGAUGCUCUCUUUCUUCUCGCAUAGCUUAGCAAGGCCAAAGUCAGAAACUUUUGGGCAAAGAUUGUAAGGAAUAUUUCCUUCCCCUAUUAUGUGGUCUUGUAGUUAUCCGUUUUCUAUGGAAUAAUGUUAUUCUUUAAUAUAUUUGGUAACUAAUUAAAUAGAUAAUGAUGGAGUUUUUCCUAAUCAAUCUCUACUUUGAUGGACGGUUGAGAUUAAAUCUUAAGGAAACCCUAAAGAGGAACUAGGUCCUCUCUCCGCCUAUAAAUAUAUGCCUUUAGUCCAUCAUAAAGGCAUCCCAAAAAGAAAUCACAAACACAACACAUAAAGUAAGUUUAUAGGCAAGGAGAGAGAAACCUAAUAACCUAACUAAGAGAUCAAGACUUCAGGAAACCGUUCAUCAAGAAUCUCAGUUACAAUGAAUGGAGGUACUCCGCUAACCCUCCUUUACAGUUUUAUCAUGUGAUUAAUCAUGUUGCUUAAAAGAUCUUAGGGUUCAUGUAAAUUGCACUUACAUGUGGUAUCAGAGCAUGGUUAUAAGCAUAUGAUUAAUUCAUUAAGUAUGAUAAAAUUAGAGACCUGCAUAUAUAAAUCUAUGUUUGAUUUUUCUGUGCAAAUUUCGGGUUUUUUUUUUUCUUAAAGUAUGUGAAAAAAAAAUCCGGGCGUGCAUAAUUCGGGUCUUUGGAAUUAGGUUUCUUAAAAAUAAAACCUUAGUUUAUGAUUAAAUUCGUGCGUGCAAAAUUCGUGUGUUUCUGAAUUAUGUUUUAUCAGAGAAACAGAUAUGUGCAAAAUUCGUACAUCAUAUUAAAUCGUUCUGUGCAUAAUUGGUACAAACUUAUUCUGUGAUAAUUCGUACAUAAUCGUUUUGUGCAUAAUUCGUACAAAUUUUAUUCUGUGAUAAUUUUUACAUAAUCGCUUUCGUGCAUAAUUCGUGCAAAAUUUUAUAAGUGAUAAUGUGUACAUAAUCGUUCUGUUCAUAAUCUGGGCAAAUUAAUUUUGUGAUAAUUCGUGCACAAACAAUCUGUGCAUAAUUCGUACAGAAAUCUGAUUUCAAUAAAAGUGCAUAAUUAGGUUUGGAUUUCACCACAGUGACCUUUCCUUAUAAAGUUUUGCAUAAUGAAAUCAUGAAAUCAUUAUUUAGAUAUAUCUUUGUGAUAAUAAGUUACCCACAUUAGAUAUAAAAGAAUUAUGAGUAUGUAUAUGUGUAGAUUAAGGAUAUCCACAGAUAACUUAGUCUAAUUAAGUUAAUACAUUACUCAAUUUGUUGAAUAGCAUGGUUAUGGUGGUUACCCACAGGAACAUCAUAAUUUACUUCAUGUUUAUUAUAUAAUUGAAACUUAUAUGUUGAUUAUGUUUUGAAGCCUAAUCAAAAAACUAAUUGUAUCUCUGAAAAUUUUACAGCAUCUUUUCCUGAUAACUUGUCAUCCAUGGUCUCUGGUGUUCCAACCCUCAAUGGAACCAACUUCUCAGAAUGGAAAGAGAAAGUUGAGUUCACAUUAGGAGUACUAGAUUUGGACUUGGCACUUCGUGAAGAGGAGCCAGGUCCACUUACUGACACUAGUAGUGAGGCAGAAAAGAUUCUCCAUAAGGCUUGGGAGAGAUCGAACAGACUGAGCAUUAUGUUCUUUAGGAUGACAGUUGCUAGUAACAUCAAAUCUUCCCUUCCACCUAGUGAAAAGGCUAAGGCUUAUCUUGAUACACUAGCUGAACGGUUUAAGACUGCAGACAAAUCCCUUGCUGGGAAACUUAUGGCAGAUCUUACAACUAUGAAGCAUGAUGGCACAAGGUCUAUGCAUGAUCAUUGCAUGGAUAUGAUUAACCUUGCGGCUAAGCUUAAGGGUUUAGGAAUGAGUGUGGAUGAUUCAUUUCUUGUCCAGUUUAUCCUAAACUCUUUACCUCCUCAGUAUGGACCAUUCCAAAUUCAUUACAACGCCAUAACUCAAAAGUGGACGUCUAAUGAAUUGGCUAAUAAGUUGGUGCAAGAGGAGUCUAGACUUGACCGUGAAGGUAUAAAAGUUGCCCAUUAUGCCCAUGGAGCUGUACCUAAUGCUGGGAAAAGGCAUCAAGUGAGCCAUAAAAGAGCACAACCCAGAAUGAAUGAUUCUAAUCAAGGUAACGAGAAGAAAAAGGCAAGGAAAGAUGAUAGAUGCAACUUCUGCAAGAAGUCUGGCCACUUUCAGAAAGAUUGCCCUAAAAGAAAAGAGUGGUUUGAAAAGAAAGGUAAUCCUAUGGGUUUCGUAAGCUUUUUCGAAUCUAAUCUUACUCAUGUUUCUUCUAAAACGUGGUGGAUUGAUAGUGGUGCUAAUGUACAUGUAACCAAUUCCUUGCAGGGAUUCCUUACAACCCAGACCAUAAAUCCAAGUGAAAACUACUUGUUUAUGGGGAAUCGAGACAAAGCGCCAGUUGAAGCUAUUGGCACUUAUCGUCUCAUUUUGGAUAGUGGAUUUUGUUUGGAUUUAUUUCAGACUCUUUAUGUUCCAUCUAUUUCCCGUAAUUUAGUUUCAUUAAGCAAACUUGAUUUGGCUGGUUUUAGUUCAACUCAAAGAGAUGGUUGUUUCAAUUUAUUUAUGAAAUCUAAUCGAAUUGGUUUUGGAAAAUUAGUUGAUGGUCUUUAUAUGUUAAUAUUGGCUGAUCAAUCUUCCGAAACACAUCUCACCCUGCAUGGUAAUCAUGAACUUAAAAGAAAAACAUGUGCGAAAGAUUCAUAUUUCUUGUGGCAUAAAAGGUUGGGACAUAUUUCCAGCGAAAGAAUAAAAAGGUUGGUAAAAGAUGGAGUCAUUCCAAAUCUUGAUUUUACCAACAAUAAAGAGUGUGUAGAUUGCAUUAAGGGUAAGCAAACUAAACACACAAAGAAAGGUGCCACAAGAAGUACACAGCUUCUUGAAAUCAUACAUACAGAUAUUUGUGGACCUUUUGACGUUCCAUCUUUUGGAGGUGAAAAGUAUUUCAUUACCUUUAUUGAUGAUUAUUCACGUUAUUGUUAUCUCUAUCUAUUGCAUGAAAAGUCUCAGUCUGUGGAUGCUGUACAAGUGUUCAUUACUGAAGUAGAGAGACAAUUAGAUAGAAAAGUGAAAAUUAUAAGGUCAGAUAGAGGUGGUGAAUUUUAUGGCAGGUAUGAUGAAACAGGACAACAUCCUGGACCUUUUGCCAAACUUCUCCAAAAAUUAGGAAUUGUUGCUCAAUACACAACGCCUGGUUCUCCAUGGCAGAAUGGUGUAGCUGAAAGGCGUAACCGUACAUAUAUGGGAAUGGUUAGAUCCAUGAUGAGUCAUGCUAACUUACCUAUAUCCUUGUGGAUGGAUGCAUUACGCACUGCAGUCUAUAUCUUGAAUAGAGUUCCUAGCAAAGCAGUUCCGAAAACUCCUUUUGAACUGUGGAAAGGCUGGAAACCUAGUCUGAAACACCUCCAAGUUUGGGGAUGUCCAGCUGAAGCAAGAAUAUAUAACCCACAUGAAAAGAAACUGGAUUUCAGAACGAUCAGUGGUCACUUUAUUGGUUAUCCUGAGAAAUCCAAAGGAUAUAGGAUUUAUUGUCCAACCCAUAGUACAAGAAUAGUGGAAACCGGUAAUGCUAGAUUCUAUGAGAAUGGCGAAAUUAGUGGGAGUGAUAAAGUUCAAGAUGUGGUCAUUCAGGAAAUUCGGGUGCAUAUUCCUUUACCCUUAGUUCCGAAAGUUGUUGGAAAUCCUCCCAUUGUUGAACCGUUAAACAAUGAGGAAAAUCCAGUGAAUGAUCAUACACUCCAUGAAGAAAACGUCGCUAAUAAUGAUAAUCAAGUACAAGAGGAACCAGCAUUAAGAAGAUCUACUCGUCCGAGGAGAUCUGCUAUUUCUAAUGACUAUGUACUUUAUCAAGUAGAAUCUGGAGAAGUGAAUAUUAAAGAUCCGGUUUCUUAUUCACAAGCCAUUAAGGAUAUUAAUUCUGAUAAGUGGGUUGAUGCCAUGAAGGAUGAAAUGAACUCUAUGGCUAAUAAUGAAGUUUUAGAUGUUGUUCCAUUGCCUGAAGGACACAAACCAGUUGGGUGUAAGUGGAUCUUUAAGACCAAACUCGACUGUAAUGGCAAUAUUGAACGAUAUAAAGCUAGACUUGUAGCCAAAGGGUUUAAUCAAAAAGAAGGUAUCGACUAUAAUGAGACUUUUUCUCCUGUGUCAAGGAAAGAUUCUCUCAGAAUUAUCAUGGCAUUAGUAGCUCAGUAUGAUCUCGAACUACAUCAAAUGGAUGUGAAAACUGCCUUUCUUAAUGGUGACUUAGAAGAAGAAGUCUAUAUGCGNNNNNNNNNNNNNNNNNNNNNNNNNNNNNNNNNNNNNNNNNNNNNNNNNNNNNNNNNNNNNNNNNNNNNNNNNNNNNNNNNNNNNNNNNNNNNNNNNNNNUCUAAAGUUUGAUGAAACCAUUACGAAAUUCGGUUUUAAAGAAAACAUUGUAGAUCCUUGCAUAUACCUCAAGAUCAGUGGGAGUAAGUUCAUAUUUUUGGUUUUGUAUGUUGAUGAUAUUUUACUGGCUAGUAGUGAUCUUGGUCUAUUACAUGAGACUACAGGUUAUCUCUCUAAGAAUUUCGAAAUGAAAGAUAUGGGUGAGGCAUCCUACGUGAUCGGAAUUGAAAUAUUUCGUGAUAGAUCACUUGGAAUUUUAGGGUUGUCUCAGAAAGCUUAUAUUGAUAAAGUUCUUGAGAGAUUUGGCAUGAUGGCAUGUUCUCCUAGUAUUGUUCCUCUGCAGAAAGGUGACAAACUUAAUCUUAAGCAAUGUCCGCAGAAUGAAUUGGAACGUCUGGAAAUGCAAAAAUAUCCUUAUGCAUCUUUGGUGGGAAGUUUGAUGUAUGCACAGGUUUGCACCAGACCUGAUAUUAGCCAUGCAGUUGGCAUGCUGGGUAGAUUUCAGAGUAACCCAGGACUCGCUCAUUGGCAAGCUGCAAAGAAAGUAUUGAGAUACCUCAAAGGAACAAGAAACUACAUGCUUACAUACAGAAAGUCAACACAUCCACAGAUGGUUGCAUUUUCGGAUUCAGAUUAUGGUGGAUGUCAAGAUUCUAGACACUGCACUCUUGGCUAUGUGUAUCUCCUUUCUGGGGGUGCCAUCUCAUGGAAAAGCCAAAAGUCGCAGCUGUUAUACACAUCCACUAUGGAGGCUGAGUAUGUUGCAUGUUAUGAGGCUUCUAUUCAAGGAGCAUGGUUGCGGAAUUUUGUCUCUGAGUUUGGGGUUUUGAGUUUUGUUGACAAGCCUUUGACUCUUUACUGUGACAAUGAAGCUGCAAUCUUCUUCUCUAAGCAUGAUAGGAUAUCUAAGGGAGCCAAGCAUAUGGACCUUAAAUACCUAUCACUAAAGCAAGAUGUCAAAAGAGGAAAGUUUGUCAUUGAACAUAUAGGCACUGAACUUAUGGUUGCAGACAUAUUUACAAAAGGGCUACCUCCUAAGACUUUCGAGAAGCAUGCUGAAAGUAUGGGUCUUGAGGAUAGUUCCUAAUUAUGUAGUUUGUUUUAAUUGGCCUAUAUUUGACAUUUAUGUUGAACUCUUUUAUGAUUUUUUCAUCUUUUAUAUUCUGUUUCCAAUGUGCACACACAUUAUUGUUGUUGGAAUUAUAAUAACAGAAUGAGUCUUUAUUUUACAGACAUUAAAGGGACCAUUAUGAUAACUCCUAUUAUGUUAUGGUUUAGCUAAGAAGGUAGUCAAUGUAGAAGUACAUGGAAGGGAUCAUGUUGCAGAAUGAUAUGCGACCGCCAUGACUCCCAUUGAUUACUAGAUUAGUCAAGACACUUAUGAUGACCAAAUGAAAGAUAUUAGUAAUAACAUAUUAUGCCGGCCUUAUGAUUCCUAAGAGAAUACAUUAAUGGAUUCUACUAACGACCAAGUGGGAGACUGUAAGGAAUAUUUCCUUCCCCUAUUAUGUGGUCUUGUAGUUAUCCGUUUUCUAUGGAAUAAUGUUAUUCUUUAAUAUAUUUGGUAACUAAUUAAAUAGAUAAUGAUGGAGUUUUUCCUAAUCAAUCUCUACUUUGAUGGACGGUUGAGAUUAAAUCUUAAGGAAACCCUAAAGAGGAACUAGGUCCUCUCUCCGCCUAUAAAUAUAUGCCUUUAGUCCAUCAUAAAGGCAUCCCAAAAAGAAAUCACAAACACAACACAUAAAGUAAGUUUAUAGGCAAGGAGAGAGAAACCUAAUAACCUAACUAAGAGAUCAAGACUUCAGGAAACCGUUCAUCAAGAAUCUCAGUUACAAUGAAUGGAGGUACUCCGCUAACCCUCCUUUACAGUUUUAUCAUGUGAUUAAUCAUGUUGCUUAAAAGAUCUUAGGGUUCAUGUAAAUUGCACUUACAAAAGUCAGAAACUUUUGGGCAAAGAUUGCAAUCCAACAGCACGUUCUGAGGUUUGAUAUCGAAAUGCACAAUCCUUGUUUUGCAACCAUAGUGCAAGUAUUCUAUACCACGAGCAACUCCUAAUGCAAUCUCGUAAAGCUUCCUUCUCCAUUCAGCAGUGGACGCGCUGUUCAUUGAGAUAAACUGAUCCAAAGAUCCAUUCUCUAGAAAUUCAUAAACAAUCAUCCUCUUGGAUCCUUCAUAGCAGAAUCCAACCAAAGAAACAAUGUUAACAUGAGAUGUUUGGCUCAUACUUGAAACCUCAUUGAUAAAAUCUUCGCCAUUGCUCUUGGAGUCUUUUAAAACCUUCACCGCGACCUUACGACCAUCAGGAAGGUUUCCUUUGUAAACAGUUCCAAAUCCUCCUUUCCCAACUACGCAUGCAAAUGACUCUGUAAACCUCUUUACUUCAGUGUAACGAUAAUGUUUCAGAGGAAUAAUAGCCUUGAGCUUCUUUCUUGUAUUUGACGUUUUCCUCUUUAUUCUUAUAAAAAUUGCUAAGACCCCCAAGACCAUGAGUAUGAUUAGUAUCGAACCCGCAACUAAGAAAACAGAACAUAGGAACUUAUGAGUUACUUUCUAUCAAGAAAUCUCAAGAUUUUUUGGGCUAAAGUAUCUAACCUAUGAGAAUAUUUCUGGUCAUGACUUGAUUAUCUAGAGAGCCUUCAAGAAAGUAUAGCUGGUCAGUAUGCAAACAAAAUUGACUGAGGCAUGGUCAAAAAAUACAGAGAAUUAGUAAUAAUUUUUUAACCUUUCUUGAGCUGUGGAAGAGGAAGAUCCGAGAGUGCAAGCCGCGCUGCAACAAGAGGGUCUCCAUCACUGAAAAAACUCCAACCCAUCACGUAGUGAGCACUAAAAACUCUCCCAGUGGCUGCUGUGAAUCCAAUGUACAUUUCUUCUUGCACAAUCUCUGCCAGAUUUGGAAUCUUUUGUGAGAUCAUUGGCUUUCUUGGGGGAAACACUUCCGGGUAAAUGGUCAAAUACAGCAUUUGUGUCUGACCAUUGUAAUCCAAAAUGGCUCGGAUCGGCCCACCGCUCCCCAAGUGGAAAUCCUCUUUUCGGUCGUUAGACUCGUAAUAGGCAACUGGUUCUUGGAACUCUGACUUGAUACUAUUAAAGUUCAGAUCGAUGUGAUUGGCUGGACUAUUAGCACUGUCAUUGAAUCCUUGUACAGUGUCGAACUCAACGGCGAAGACAUGGUUAUUUGGAUUCCCGUCGUUUUCUCUGUUGAAAAGUCCUAAGUAUUGUUCCGGUUCAGCGCCUAGACGGUGAGGGGUGGGAGAAAGUGUGAAGGUGAAGCCGAAACCUCCAUUGCUCAAGCUGGAAUGGAAUAUGGAGAAGACAAAAGAAGUGCUAAAAGAACGAACAACGGGUUUGGUAGUGAGAUUGUUUUGGUCAAGCAGCCUUACUGGUUUGUUGUAAAAGGCUGUUCCGGUGACGUUAGACUUUUGAUCAGUGAGUCUCAAUGCUCCAUUGGGUUCGAUGAUUGCAGCUCCCUCUGUUUGAAUAUCUGAUUUGUGAUCUUUAAAACCUCGGAAAACGAACUCUGUUGUUGUCUCUGUUGAUGUGCUCUGAGCUCUAACAGAGACGCUUAAAAGCUGAAAGAACAGGUAUAAGAGCGUGACCAUGGAUCGAGACAUUAGAAAUCGAUCAAGAACAGGAGAUGAUGGUGGGGUUUUGUGAAGUAGAGUUUGGUUUUGUCCUUAAAAAUUAAUUCACUGAUCAAGGUAGUUGUAAGAGCAUCUACAUGAUUCUACAGGACUAAAACAGAUUGAUCAUUGUGUUUGUGAUCAAUAGGAAAAUGGUGGAAGAAGAGAUGUAAAUCGUUUUGGUUUUGUAAGAGUUAAUGUUCGGACGUUUAGUCUCUUUGACCAACCUUCUUUUUUUUUUUUUUUCUGUACAACGACUUUAAAGCCAUGUGUACUUUGACUAUUCUCAAACCUUAUGAAAAUUAUCCAGAGCCGUCUCUAAAAAAUUUCAGGCCACAAUCAAAAAGUAAAAAAAGGCUGGUUAAAUACAAGUAUGUGACUCGAACUGGGGUGCAACUCUCAUAUAUGGCACUGCAUGUACCACUGGACUUAAGGAAACUUUUGCAAAAAAUGGCCGAAUUUUAUGUAUUAUAUCGAGGGCCGCAAGCUGAUGCUUCACCAGCUUGGCCCAUGGGCCGGCUCUGAAAUUAUCCUUACCAGACGGGAAGUGGGCAGUGAUGUUUCCAAACUGAAACAUAGUCUUUCUCAAUCCAAGUUCUUGAUUACUUGAUGUACGAGGAAGAUAGUGUAUGAUCAAUUUGAUCUACGUUCACAGUGUGUUCAAUGGUGAAAUAUUUUACAUGAUCGGUUUUGGACCUUUUGGUACAUAUAGUGUAUAGUUUAUCAUAAAACUGUUCGGUUUAAAUAGAGAGUAGCAAUGGGCCUUUCAUCUUUUCCCCGGAGGGUUACGUACGAGAGGAUCAAAGACAAUCUUAUGUCGCCACAGGCUUUUUGGCCCUUUGGCUCUGUGUAAUAAUACAUUAUUCGUUUAACUUGUCAAUACAAAUUUUAGUUUCAAAGGGAUACAAAAGAAAACAAGAACAGCUGAUAAAAGUUGACUUUACAAAUUUUUAAGUAUUCCUUGGUCAAAUGAAGAAUCAGACACGGCACUAGACGUGGCAAACGUUGACCAAUAUGUAUUCUCUAUCAUUCCUAAUGACGAUUUAGUUUCAGUUAACAGUUUAGUUUUAGGAAAACCAACACAAGGUCAUUAUCAUCUUUAGAGUCAUAUUAGUAUCAUGACAAUAAACAUUUUAUAAGAAAUCAAAUUGUUACAAAAAGAAAUGAUAACAGAUUAGUACCAUUGUAAUAAUUUUAUUUACUAUAAUGUUCAUUAUCAUGAACAAGAGAAUUCUCAUGUACAAAGUACAAACAACAACCGAAUUAUAAACUGAUGAUUAAACAAGUACAAUAACCAAAUCACAGUAAACCAAAGUGUAAAUUUAAACCGGCACACAAAGAAACAGAGAGGAGUAUGUGACAUCUAGGGUUUGGUCACGUAAGUAGAAGAGUGAGAGGAAAAAUCGCAGAGAGGAGAAGAGAUAGUGUGAGUCGGGUUUGUCCACUAGGUGCUUGUGCAAUGGUUGAUGGGGUUCCUGGGGUUGAGGUUGGUCGGGGAUCAUAAAAAAUGACCGAAAGAACUUAGAGCUAAUACGAAAAGUCGGUGAUCAUAAAAAACGACCGAAAGAACUUAGAACAAAGGACUCACAAUAUCUAAAAGGCCACCGGGUUGAAUUGGUAACAUGUAUUGUGGUAUUUUGUCUCUACCCAAACAUCGAUUCCCUGGAGAAGAUAAACAAAGUUAGGUUGUGGUGUAUGACCUUUUGGUGUAAAUAUUAAGUCACUUACUUUUGUAUCUUGCAGCUGUGAAGGGGAACUCUGUGAUGGUUCCAUUAAUACUGGCUCCAUAGGUAUAUGUGUUUAUCUCAACAGUUGCAUCAGCGAAGAAGUCAUAUGCUUGAGCGACAAACUCAUUCUGAAACAGUUCCACAUAAACCGGGAGCUGAGACUUCUGGAGUCUCUCCACAACAUUGGUAUGUUUACUGAGAAACGAAUCAGAGUUAGGAAAGACUGAAACUUUGUUGAUGACAACAGCGUUAGCGAAUUUCUUUAUGUCUUCGAUGGCAGAAUCACUAAUAUCACGAAUGGUUUCUUCAAUUCUGUAGACAGUUUCAUACUUGCUCUGAUUCUUGAAGUCAACUAGAACCGAGCUGUUGGUAGACUGAAUCAUGACCUUUGUUGUAGUUGUUCCAUUGCUAUAACCAGAUUCUGUUAGUGUUUCAAGAACAGCUUUAACCACGUCGAGCCCUUGCUUCUCUCUCAAGUAUGCCGCAUUCUGAGGGACACAAAAAAAAACAUAGUGGCCAUUAGAAGAUAUCAUAGUCGAAAAUCUAAUGACGAGGAGGUCCACGAAAACUCACAUCAACACUGAUCAAAACACCGGAGAGAGUAGUGGAGUUCUUUGCCAAGCCUAAGAAUUGAGAAAGCGACAUAAGCUUCCCCGCAUUUCUCUUUUCUGGAUUCCUUACCAUAUCAUAUACUUUGUAUGGGUUUGAAAUAGCAGCUGAACAUAUAGAUGGGAGACGAGUCAUGUAAUGUCUAAAGUGGCAAGUAAUUUUGACCAGAAUAUGAUAAGAAAAUUGAUACUUGUAUCUAUAUGUAACCUCUUAGCUUAAGUAAGACUAGAAACAAAGCUCUCUCAUUAGUUACUAUAAAUUGUAAGGAACAAGAAUGUGAUGUCUGAUCAGCAAUUGAAAAAUUUAAAGGGAAACUUACGAGUCAAAUUCUGGAUUUCAGGCCAUGUGAGAUUAAAAGUGUAUAUUCCACCAUUUGGGCUGAUUUCAGGAACAGUUGUUGAACGCUUGCUAAAAGGAGUUUGGACGACCAUUGUGGUGUCUUUGAGAUCUAUUGAACUUGAGCAAAAAGGUAUACCGUCACUCGACAUUUGGACUGAACAAUCGAUAACAUCAGCACCAUCUUUGAUUGCAUUCUCAUAUGCCAAGUCUGUACAUCCAGGAUAGUCCCCACUCGCGCCAUUUUUUGAUAUAACAAGAAAAUCCACUGAGGCAUGAACCGUUGUGGAGAUGAUAAUUAAAGUCAGUUACAAGGUUUUUUUUGUUCGUAAGCCAAAAAAUGUGAAGUAUUUACUGCGCAUUACCGUGCUUUGUAGCGUUUCUGCCAAUAUGGGAGAAGCAAUCUGAAGAAAAUAUGAAAUGGAAACUUUUGAUUUUGAGUAUUUUCAGCAAUGUUUCAAAGCCAAAAUUGUGUUCGUAGAAGAGAUUUUGCUUACCAAUGGAUGAAGAUGCAGUUAAGGGAAAGUCAGAGAGCAUGCCAUCGACAGAGAAAUUACCAUUGUCCACAAAAGAUAGAUACUCUGAGACUGGAUCGGAACUGUAGUUAUAUGCAAUAUCAACAUCAUUUGCAAAACCUGACACAUAUACUUGUAAACCUGCUUUGUGAGCAUCUUGAACUAACGAUGUAUGAGGAAGCAAAUACCGCUUGUCAUUGAGUGGUAAUAUAUAAGAUUUGGGAACAAGAAUCCCUGAAGCAAACGUCUUGACAAAAGUUAAAUUACUCAAGAUGGAACCGUAGGUUUGGUUUGUCGUCGGCUCGAAAUCUUCUUUUUCAAGAAACUGAAACACAAAACUCGGUCCAUUACGCCCGAAACUGCCAGCAAUUUUCAUAAAGAAAUUUACUUCAGGGGAAGAUAUGAAGUAAAUGGAAACAGUUGUUGAAGCUGAUAAUAGGAAACUGCUCAUGCUCAGAUUUUGUUGCUCGUAGAACGCAUCGUGCUGAACAUUUAACCAAAAGCCUCCUUGAGGACUAAUCUGCUCGGCAACGUUUUGAAUCGUUGAAAUGGCGUAUCCAUUUCCAUCGAAUUUAUCCGAUCGCGAGAGUAUUCCUCGAAUCACUAAGGUAAUAAGAAGAAAAAAAAACAUAUAUUUGUGAGAGUUACAAGAAAAAAAACAAAACUUAAUUGUUUGUUAUUAAACACUUACAAGAAACAUUCUGGAGAUCUCCCAGGGAGAAAUCAAUGGUGAACCAACCCUGCCUAGUGACUCCAUUAACCGGGUAAGAUUUAGGUUUGUGAUUUGGGUAAACAAGAUCUAUAGUUGAAGCAUUGGCCAGAUUUAAAUCAGGGAAGCAAAUCCCAACUCCAUCUUUGGUUAGCUGAACAUCACACCAUAGAACAACAUCAGCUACACUUGUCUGGGUUGCAAGAGAGUAAGCAUCAAGACUCGAAUCUGGUAACAAUCCAGAAAACCCACCACGAGCAAUCACAAGUGGAGCAUCACCUAGUAAAUAAAUAAAUAAAAGUAAUCCAAAGUUAUAUUCUAUACAAAAGUAUAUAUACGCUCCCAUAAUCAAAGUAAUUACUGGACUUUCAUAUUUGGAAACUUUCCUUUUUUGAAAAACAAAAUAAAGUGAACUUGUUAUCCCAACUUCUACGACACAUAUGGUUAAAGAAAGAAAGUUACUUAAGUAAUACUAAAUCCAAGAUAAAGAAAUCAAAGCUUUCUUGGAAACCAUCAUAGAGUAACUCUCACCACUAAGCGUCUGCCAUCGACUUCUUGAUCUUUGAGCAUCGAUUUGAGCAGAAAACAGCUGAAUCAGAACAACACCACAUAAUAAAACCGUUGAAUAUCGCAUUACGACCUCUCUUAGAUAACCUUGCCGGGAUAAUCUCAUCGGUAACUUACAUAAACAAAAACAAAACAAAAAAAUUUAGUAGAUUUAUCGUUAAAGCUUAAGCAUUGAACUCAUAGAGGAUAAGUACAUAAAGACUCAAUAUGUUUCUUUUUUUAUAAAUAUACAAAUCAGUUAGUUUUAUUAGUUGACUCAUAGUGAACAAACAAAUACAGAGAGACUCUUUGAAACAAGUGGCUUUAUUAGUUAACACUGAGUGGACCAAUAGAGAGAGACUAUUUAACAAAAAAAGAAGGAUUUAUUAGUUGACUCAGAAAGACUUGUGUCUCUUCAAUAACUUUUAUAUAUAGAUAUCAUAUGAUUAAGAAGGUGGUGAAGAAAAUGAACGUAUGAAUAGUUCUGGCCAAUUGCUAGAUCAACUAUGACACAUAAUAUUAUUGCUUACCCAUCAAAUUUUGUCUCUUUUAACAAUUUCUAAAACAUUUUUUUGUAUCACCUAAGAGUUUUAAUUCACCAAAAAUGAGGAAAAAUAUUAAUUGGAAAAGAAUCUUCAGGUGGACCUAGGGGCAUUUGUCCUGAAAUGAAAUCUAUAGUGGGACUGAGAUAGGUGACUUGCCGGUAAACCAAUACCAUACUAUCUUGAUCUUUUCAAGAUGACCAUUGAGGCAUUGACCAAAGAGGUGUUUAGGAGACUUGAAAAGUCCAUAAAUCAGCUCUUUACCGUUACCUAUGCAAAGACUUCAAACUAAAAUCAAUUUCUAGAAAGGAAAAUAGAAGUUUGAGCAAGCAUUAAUAACCUAAGGAAGUUGUUUGGUUCAUGCUUCCAUUGCUCUAACCCUUAAAUGGUUUUUUUUUCUACUAUAAUAACUGAGACAGACAUUGUUCUUUAUUACCAUCUUCAGAAAAAUGAGACAGUAAGUUUUUGCAAACAGCAACGAAAAUGAAGUAGUAGUUUAUUAGUUGAUGAAACUCAAAGUCUUGAGUGAAAUGCUUCAAAACGUUUUAUCGCAAUAGAAAACUGUUCUAUCUAGCUUUACAAAAAUUAAGCCGAGUGAAAUUAAAUUAGUAAAACAAAAGGCUAAACAGUUUAGCAUAGUAAAGUAAACUAGUUUUACAGAGCCGUCCUCUAGAAUGUAAAUAAUAUACAACAUUUGCGAUUUGCGUGCUUUGAUAGGUUCCAUGGAUCAUCCUUCUGUGUAAGUAGAGGUAUCUUCUGAAAAUGUUGAAGAUUCUUGUAGAGACACUGUGGGAAUUUGAAAAACUGGCCUAGGAGGGACUUCAAGAGCAUCCAAACUUCCUUCCAUCAUCUCUACAACUCUAUUCAUCGGUGGGCGAUCUGUUGGGGAAGGCUGAAUACACCACAACCCCACCAAUGUCAUCUUCUUUGCUAGCUCGUCUUCUUCGCUGUUGAACUCAAUCUCAAUAUUGGUUUUGGACUUGCCUAACUCAAGAUCCUUAUAUACCCAUUCAGGAAAGUACAUUGAACUUGUGUUAGAAGCAGCGGCUUGAUUAAAAUUUUCUUUGUUCCUUGCACCAAUCAUAUCGAGAACCAACAUUCCGUAGCUAUAGACAUCUGAUUUGUGCGAUACAUUCCCAUAAACUCUUGAGAUCAUCUCUGGUGCAAUGUACCCUACGGUACCUCUUGUGUCCAGCAUUGACAAGAUGCUCUCUUGUUUCUCGCAUAGCUUAGCGAGGCCAAAGUCCGAAACUUUGGGGCAAAAAUUGUCAUCUAAGAGUACAUUUUGUGGUUUGAUGUCAAAAUGUACAAUCCUUGUCUUGCAUCCAUGGUGCAAGUACUCUAGACCACGAGCAACUCCUAACGCAAUUCUAUAUAGAGACCCCCAAUCCAUUUCCACCGUGCUCUUUCCUGAAAUGAACUUAUCAAGUGACCCGUUUCCCAAAAACUCGUAUAUAAUUGCCCUUUUAGAACCCUCCGAGCAGAAACCAAGCAAAGAAACAAUGUUGUGAUGAGAAGUUCUGCUCAUGCUAGCAACUUCAUUGAUGAAGUCUUCACCAUUUCCCUUUGAGUCUUUCAAGACCUUCACCGCAACCAUACGGCCAUCACGAAGUGUUCCUCGAUAAACAAUCCCAAAUCCGCCUGUCCCAACCACUUCCGCAAAUGACUUUGUAAUUCUCUUCACUUGUGUGUAAGUAUAGUGUUCAAGUGGAAUAAGAGCCUUCAGCUUCUGAUGUCUCAGCCUUUUUUCUCUCUUCCGGAGAAAACGGAGAAACAAUGUUAACAGUACAAGGAACAAAACAACUCCUGCUACUGUACCCGCAACUACAAAAAAUGGGGAAAAAUGUGCUGUUAAUAAAUUUUUGAUCGACGAAUAAAAGACAGUUCAAAAUAUCUCUGGUCAGCAAACUAACCUAUGCGAAUUGCUUUGUUCCAAGCCCCUGUACAACCGUUGAACAAGUGAAAUUUGUCAGAAUGGAACCAAACUUAUGUCGGAAGAAAAGUGAAGAACAAACUCAGAGUAGAAAAUAGUAUACCAUGAACUUUUUUCUCAGAGACACAUGUAUUGCCAUAGGUCCCAUCUUUACAAUAACAGAUGAAUUCUGUUGAAGUCUGAUUAUAACCACAAACACCUUUCGAUUCUAUGCACAUUGAACAGUUUUGAUUAAGUUCUACCUCGAAACCCUUUUCAAGAGUCCUCUCUAAAGUUCCUAGGCUCAGUGUGUUCAACGCCGAUCCAGACACAGGUAUACUGACGUCUCCUCUGCAUUGUUCCGACAAUUCCUUUUCAAGAGUCCUCUCUAAAGGAGACGAGAUGUUUCUCGUCACGUAAUAAUUUUUGGUCGGUCCAACUCUGCACAAAAUUAAUAAGUUACGUCUUUUUCAGUUAAUGAUAAUUUCUAGACAAAAUGUUGUUUUAAAAAUAUGAACACUAAGCGAUGGCUUCACUUGCCUACGACUUAGCCGAGCUUCUUCAUCAUUCUCACAAACAACAUCUCCAGUGUAAACGUUAGUGAGAACAUCAUUAGAUGACAAGUUUUGGCAGCCGUAAUAAAUUGUUAGCAUCUUGGAGCGAGAAGAGAAUGGAAGUACAGUUUCCAAGAGUGUCCCAUUUAGUUGGUCUUGGAGACACAUUCUGAUUCUGGGAUUGUCGAUGUAAUCCAAUCUUGCGAGUUUUAUAAGAUGAGAGACAUUGUUAUCCUCUAAAAUUCUGAACUUCACGGAGGAGAGGUUAAACUCCGCGAAUCCUUUGCUACAAUCAAGCUUGAAGUCUGGGUGGCCGCAGUCUUCUCUGCCACGGACCCAGAAAGGGUACGCGAGACUUCCCUGAUUGCCACAGGGAAAUGGUUGACUGCAGCGUUCGUAACGCUCAAUAGCUGGUAAAACAAAAGAUGAGGUCACAAAGGCUAUAAGAUAGAAACAGAUUGAUUACUGUGUGCUCCUCUGUUUUUGUUAUAUUGACUACAAGUGUUUUGGUUUGGUAAGAGUUGCAGGAAAUGAAGCUAUGUUUGGUCUUUUUGAACAAGGCAAAUUAAUAUCAUUCACUAAGUGGAGAAAGACAAGUAAAAAAGAAGCAAAGUGAAACUUACGUGAGGAAGAACAUCCUUCACACGUUAUCUCAUCAGUAUUGACCAUAACCUCAAAUCCUUCUCUUAGAACACUUUCCAAAUGAGUCAUAUUCAACUCUUUCUUUUCUGGAACAAACGUGGUGGGCACGUUCACGGUAAAGCUUUCUUGGCAGGAUUGAUGAUAAUUAGGGCUUUGAUACCCUGAGAUAACACCUCUCCGAGGACAUGUGUAACUAGAAGCAUAAUGAAAACGUGGGUUGCAGUGAUAGAAAAUGGUGAGGCUCUUGUAGAUUGGUGAAAGCUCAGAGAUUUCGGGAGGCAAGGUUGUGGAAUUGAAUGUAGAGGAGCAAAAAGGACCUUUAUGGUCAGCUCUUACAAGUCUAAGAAGAGUAGUGCUAGAUGUGUGAUUUAUAUGGAAAAUAAUGUACUCAUGGUUUGAGAUGCUUAAAGAGGUGAUGUUUUUGGUGUUGCAGUGAAGCUUCAGCAACGCACGACCACAAGGUUCAGGACGAUUCCCACCCCAAAAUGGGAAACCGGCGGUAAUGCUCCCACACUGAAACUGAAUAGUCUCACACCAUCCAAUUUCUUGUUUACUUGAAGCAUAGUGAAGAUGGUAGAUUAAGGUGAAAAGAAAGAGGAAGAUCAAACAAGAAUUGAGGGGGAAGUACAUUAUUUGUGGAUUUAUGAACAAUGUUUCUUCUAGAUCUGGUGUUUGUUUUCUAAGAGUAGAUAAAAUCAGAAAAUUAUUUAACCAAACAGGCACAGGCACAGAGAGAGGGAGAGAGAGAGAGGGGUUUUUUUUUUUUAACCACAUGGUUGUUAGUUAACUCCGAUGCCUAGGCUAAGGUUUUUCCUCUUUUCUGCCUUAAUUAUGAAAAGAAAAGAAAAGAAGAAUAAAAGAAGGUAUUGGCCAAUUAGUUAGAUAACUAAUUUUCAUAGUGAUCACAAGAUUAAUAACAAUGUAUAUUGUAAAUUUAUGAUUAGGAGAGUUAAUGUAAUACUUCUUAAACUAUGUGUUCUUCUCACAUCAAAUUUUUUUCUCUACUAUUUGAUAGAUAAAUUCCGCAUAUUUUAAAUUUUUCUUCCAAAACUACCACUAUUUUUUUUUUCCAAAAAUACCAUAAACAUAAAAUAUUGAUGAUGUAAAUUUUUUUUUUAAUGUUUGGGUUGACUAUUUACAUGUAGGGUAUAGUUUUUAUCGGUAGUUUUUAGUGUUUAGAAUUUAAAAAUUAGUUUUGAAUGUUAAAAAUUUAAGUUAUUUUUGGAAAAAUUCUCAUUUUAGUAGUAUUUAAGAGAAUUUCCUGCUACAUAAAUGGUAAAGAUAAAUAACUGAAUGGUAAAAAUAUGAUUUAUCAUAGUUGAUCUAGCUAUAGUAAAUGACCAGUACCAUUGCUUGUUCCCUACAUUUUUUUGGUCGACAGAGACAAGUCAACUAAACAACAAAAAUAUUAAAGACUAAAAGACGAGUCUCUCUGGCAAAGGUUCUUGCGUGUCGGUGUAUCUAUCCACUAUGGGUACGAUGGUUUUGAAUUCCCGGCCAGGUAAUCCGGCAAUGCUAGUGUUACCAUCUCCCUCGCUUUUAUUCUGUGGGUUUGCUCUGUUUCAGCUGUUUGCUACUCACAUUGAUGGUCAGAGAUCAACAAGUCCAUGGCAGACGCUCAGUGGUGAGUGUGCUCUCCACUUUUUCUCUUUCUUUUGCGCAAGAAAGCAAGAUAACUUAAGUAGUUGUGUACUAGAAUUUGUGGUAAUCAUAGAUACUUUAAAAUAUAACUUUGGAUUACUUUGUUUAUUUAUGUAUUUACUAGGUGAUGCUCCACUUGUGAUUGCUCGUGGUGGGUUUUCUGGAUUGUUUCCAGAUUCGAGUAGUGAUGCUUACAAUUUCGCAAUACUGACAAGUGUAGCCGAUGUUGUUCUAUGGUGUGAUGUUCAGCUAACCAAAGAUGGAGUUGGGAUUUGCUUCCCUGAUUUGAAUCUGGCCAAUGCUUCCAUUAUCAAAUAUAUUUACCCAAAUGGUCAAAAAUCUUACAUGGUUAAUGGAGUCACUACUCAGGGUUGGUUCACCAUCGAUACCACCUUCAAAGAUCUCGAGAAUGUAACUUGUAUGUUUCUAUCACUCAGUUGGUGCUUUUUUAAAUGUGUUGUUAUAGAGUUGGUUCACCAUUGUCUUUCUUGUUUCCACAUGUUGCAGUAAACCGAGGAAUAUUAUCACGGUCAGAGAAAUUCGAUGACGUAAAUGGUAUUUCAACGAUUCAAAAUGUAGCCGCCUUGAUAAAACAAGAGGGUUUUUGGUUAAAUGUUCAGCACGACGCGUUCUAUGCGCAACAUAAUCUGAGCAUGAGCAACUAUCUUCUUUCAGUUUCAAGAACUGCUUCCAUUGACUUCAUCUCUUCUCCUGAAGUGAAUUUCUUUAUGAAAAUUGCUGGCCGUUUCGGGCGUAAUGGACCUAGUUUUGUGUUUCAGUUUCUUAGGCAAGAAGAUCUCGAGCCUACGACAAACCAAACCUACGGUUCUAUCUUGAGCAACCUAACUUUUGUCAAGACGUUUGCUUCAGGGAUUCUUGUUCCCAAGUCUUACAUAUUGCCACUCGAUGACCAGCAGUACUUGCUUCCUUAUACAUCGUUAGUUCAGGAUGCUCACAAAGCAGGAUUAGCAGUAUAUGUGUCUGGUUUCUCAAAUGAUAUCUAUAUCGCACAUGACUACAGCUUCGAUCCAGUCUCAGAGUAUCUAUCUUUUGUGGACAAUGGCGAUUUCUCUGUCGAUGGCAUGGUCUCCGAUUUUCCCAUAACUGCAUCUUCAUCCAUUGGUAAGCAAGAAAAUCUAAAAAAAAAGCUGUCCUUCAAAAUUUGCUGGUAAUUAAAUACUCAAAAUUCAAACAUUUCCAUUUCAUAUUUUCCUCAGAUUGCUUCUCCCAUAUUGGCAGAAACGCUAGAAAACAUGGUAUGCUUCACAUUUUUUUGGCUUACUAAUAUACAAAAAAAAACAAAAAAAAAACUUAUAGUGACCUUAUCAUCUACCAAAACGGUUGAUGCCUCAGUGGAUUUUCUUGUUAUAUCAAAAAAUGGUGCGAGUGGGAACUAUCCUGGAUGUACAGACUUGGCAUAUGAGAAGGCAAUCAAAGAUGGUGCUGAUGUUAUAGAUUGCUCAGUCCAAAUGUCGAGCGACGGUACACCUUUUUGCUCAAGUUCAAUAGAUCUCGGGAACACCACAACUGUCGCCCUAACUCCUCUCAGAAACCGUUCAACAACUGUUCCUGAGAUUAGCUCAAUUGGUGGAAUAUACACUUUUAGUCUCACAUGGCCUGAAAUAAAGAAUUUGACUCGUAAGUUACCCUUUAAAUUUGCCAGUUGCUUCAGAAAAAUGCUAGUCUGUUGUUCCAGUACUGUUUCUACUCUUACUUAAGUUAAAGAGGUUACAAAUAGAUGUGAAUCUGUUCCUUAAAAAAAAAAUAUUCUGCUAGCUUGAUAUGUUGUGGUCAUAAUUACUGGACACUUUAUACCAUGAGAGUUACAGUGACUAUUAUUUUUCUGCAGCUGUUAUUACAAACCCCUACAGGACUUACACUAUGUUAAGGAAUCCGAAAGAGAAGAAUUCUGGGAAGCUUAUUUCGCUUUCUGAGUUCCUGGACUUGGCAAAAAACUCCACUUCUCUCUCCAGUGUUUUGAUUAAUGUAGAGGUGAGUUCUCAGUUGCCUCAUACUCAUACUCUUGAGAUUUUAUUAAUUGGAACCCUGAUGCUUUUAUAUUUAUGUCCUUCAGAACGCAGCAUACCUGAGAGAAAAUCAAGGGCUCGACGUGAUUAAAGCGGUUCUUGAUACCCUCACAGAUACUGGCUUCAAAGAUAGUACAACCACAAAGGUCAUGAUUCAGUCAACCAACAGCUCGGUUCUAGUUGACUUCAAGAAGCAGAGCAAGUACGAGACAGUCUACAAAAUCGAAGAAACCAUUAGUGAAAUCCUUGACUAUGGUACCGAAGAAAUAAAGAAAUUUGCUGACGCUGUUGUCAUCAACAAAGAUUCAGUCUUUCUUCAGUCUGAAUCGUUUGUCACUGGGCAAACCAAUGUUGUGGAGAGACUCCACAAGUCUCAGCUCCCGGUUUAUGUAGAAUUGUUUCAGAAUGAGUUUGUCUCUCAACCAUAUGACUUCUUCACUGAUGCCACUGUCGAGAUAAACUCAUAUAUCAAUGGAGCUGGUAUCAAUGGAACCAUCACAGAGUUCCCUUUCACGGCUGCAAGAUACAAAAGUAAGUUGCCCAAAAAAUUUUAAACCAAAAGGUCCUACAAACAAAAAAAAAACAUUAACAUUGAUGCCUAAACUUGUUUAUCUUCUAGGGAAUCGAUGUUUGGCAAGAAAAGACACACCACCGUACAUGUUACCAAUUAAACCCGGUAGCCUUUUAGGUGUUGCGAAUCGUUACCUCUUACCUCCAGCCGAAGCUCCAAGCCUAAUUUUCACAGAUGCUGAUGUCAGUGAGCCACCAUUACCUCCGGUUACAGCAAAAUCCCCAACCUCAACCCCUGUAACUUCAUCAACCAAUGCACAAGCACCUAAUGAACAAACCCAACUCACUCUAUCUCUUCUCUGCUCUGUUUUUUUCCUCUCUCGUCUACUUAUGUGAUCAACCCUAAAUCUCAUCCUCCUCUCUGUUCAUAAUGUCUUCCACCCUCGUAUCAAAUUUUAGAAGUAACAACCCUUAUAAUUUCUUUGCAGGGACAACUUAUCUACUAUGUGUAAACAAGGUUUCACAGAACACACCUCUACCAUGAUUAUGAUUGUGCACAAAACACAAACAUUAAAAAAAAAAAAAAAGUUAGGUUUGUUUCCACACUUAAAACAAAAAGGAAGAUAGUGAAACAAAAUAGAAGAGGACAGUAAAGAACAUAGAUUCUUUUAUUAUCUAUUAACAAUGUCUCUUCUUGGUUUCGUAAGAAGCAAGUAAAGCUAGUCACCAGUAGUAAACUGGUAAUAUGUAAGACGUUGAAGCAAACGUUUUGACGAAAGUUAGGUUACUCAAGAUAGAAUUAGAACCGUUGGUUCGGUUUGUUGUUGACUUCUGUAGGGGAAUCUUUAUUUAUUUGUCUAUUAACGUAUCUAGAAUUUUCUCGAAAAGAAAAAACAAAACCUUCACUGGUCCAUGGACAUUUGUUCUUUUCUCAUGUAUGUAUUAUAGUUGACCUUGACCCUAGAAAAAAUGGUAUUUAGUUAGAUAAAACAAGAUUUGUUUAAUUUGGAUUUCCCUCUUUUAACUCUCUAAAACAUUAUCUUUUAACACAAAAGUACAGAAUCCAAUCAAGGUCUAUGAGUCUAAACCUAAAAAUUUGAACCAAACUGAACACCCAAAUACCGUACUAUCUCUUAUCUCCUAAAUAUUUAGGAAACUUGAAAGGUCAACAAUUCUAUCAGCACAUUAUGGGCACUUAUGUAUCGAAGUCUUAGUUUGUCUUAACACUAAAUUAAGCUUUUAGAUAGAUGGACGUUUGGAAACGAGCAAGAACUAAAAUUUAGCAAUAGUGAAUGUUUGUGUUCAUUCUUAUAUUGAUGUACUUAUAAUUGGAUUUUUUUUUUUUUUAAUGUGACAUACAUUGUUCAGUAUUACUGUUUCUAGAAAAUUGAUACAAUAGGUUUUUGCAAACAAACAACAAGGACGAAAAGUAUUUUAUUCUGAUAGCUCAGAUAAUUUGUGGAUGAAACUCAAAGUGUUAUGUUAUGUUUUCAUGUAAUGCCACAAAUCUUUUAUCGCGAUAAAAAUGUAUAUUAACUUGAUAAACAUAGUAAAUAUAUAUAGUUGGACAAAAAUCCUUUGGUUAAUUCGAAAUAUAGACGACUUUUUGAAUGUAUGCCAAGUACUUGUAGCUACCUUUUUUUUUUGCGUUUGGAUAUCCUUAUGUUCCAGUCAAGAGGCUUCUUGGAUUAUCUAUCUGUGUAAACAGAGAUAUCCUCCGAAAAUGUUGAAGAUUCUUGUAGAGACACUGUGGGAAUUUGAAAAACUGGCCUAGGAGGUAUUUCAAGAGCAUCCAAGUUUCCUUCCAUCAUCUCUACAACUCUAUUCAUCGGUGGGCGAUCUGUUGGGGAAGGCUGAAUACACCACAAACUCACCAAUGUCAUCUUCUUUGCUAUAUCUUCUUCUUCACGGGUGAAUCCAUUCCCAUUAAGCCUUCCAUUGUCUCCCUUCUCAAGACCCUUAUAAAUCCAUUCAGGAAAGUACAUAGUGCUUGUAUCAGAAGUAGAGGAUUGGUUAGCUUUUUCUUUGUUCCUUGCACCAAUCAUAUCAAGAAUCAACAUUCCAUAGCUAUACACAUCUGACUUGUACGACACAUUCCCAUAAACCCUAGAGAUCAUCUUCGGUGCAAUAUACCCUAUGGUACCUCUUGUGUCCAGUACUGACAAGAUGCUCCCUUUUUUCUCACAUAGCUUAGCGAGGCCAAAGUCUGAAACUUUGGGGCAGAGAUUGUUAUCUAAGAGUACAUUUUGAGGUUUUAUGUCAAAAUGUACAAUCCUUGUCUUGCAUCCAUGGUGUAAGUACUCUAGACCACGAGCAAUUCCUAGCGCAAUAUUAUAUAGUGUUUUCCAAUCCAAAUUCACAGAGCUCUUGCCUGAAAUAAACUUAUCAAGUGAACCAUUUUCCAAAAACUCAUAUAUAAUUGCCCUUUUAGAUCCUUCAGAGCAGAAACCAAGCAAGGAAACAAUGUUGAGAUGAGAAGUUCUGCUUAUGCUUCGGUGUUUUGAUCAAUGUAGAGGUGAGUUCUCGUCGACCUCUUACUAUUAGUAUUUUAACAAACGGACCAUAUAUAAUAUCUCCUAAUGGCCAUGCCGCUAUGCUUUUAUAUUGUGUCCCUCAGAAUGCAGGAUACUUGAGAGAGAAGCAAGGGCUCGACGUAGUUAAAGCGGUUCUUGAUGCACUCAUAGAUAGUGGCUACAACAAUAAUAUAACCACAAAGGUAAUGAUUCAGUCAACCAACAGUUCAGUUCUAGUUGACGUCAAGAAGCAUAGCCAAUACAAGAUUGUCUAUAAAAUUGAUGAAUCUAUUGGUGGCAUUCUUGACUAUGGUGUCGAAGAAAUAAAGAAAUCCGCUGACGCGCUUGUCAUCAACAAAGAAUCAGUCUUUACUGAAGCGGAUUCGUUUCUCACUAAGCAAACCAAUGUUGUGGAGAGGCUGCAGAAGUCUCAACUCCCAGUUUAUGUGGAACUGUUUCAGAAUGAGUUUCUCUCUCAAGUGUGGGACUUCUUGGCUGAUGCAUCUAUUAAGAUAGACACAUAUAUCUCUGGAGCCGGUAUCAAUGGAACUAUUACAGAGUUCCCUUUAACAGCUGCAAGAUUCAAAAGUAAGUUCCACAAGAUUUACACCAAAAGGUUAUUAACAGUAAUGCCUAAAUUUGUUUAUCUUCUCUAGGGAAUCGAUGUUUGGGGAGAAAAGUAACACCGCCUUACAUGGAACCUUCUAAACCCCGAGCCCUCUUAACCCAUAUGACUCCUCAGUCCUUACCUCCAGCUGAAGCCCUCUUAAAACGUGAUUGUCCCUAUAUAUUUGUGUUGUUCCUUUCAAUGAAAUGUAUGAAUCGAUUGUUAUUAGGAAUCCUUUAUCCUCAAGUUCAUAUGCUCGUAAUGCUAUAAUAUGAUAUUAACCUCUAGUUUUUAAUACCAAAGAGUAUUCAAGAGACUUGAAAAGUCAUCAAUUUGGUCGAGGCCCUUACUGCUACUAGCCCACUUUAAGAAUUCUUAAUUAAUGUUUUUGUUGGAUAUUCAAAGAAAAAAAAGUUAUUUUCAUUGCCUGUGAACGAACCCCGAGACCUGGGCCUAUGAAUAAGCCUAAUAAGAAAUAAUAUGUACUUUGAAGAAACAUGGAUCAAUAAUAAGUUGGUGACAAAGAAGAAAAAGAGAUCUAUUUGGAAGCAAAGACGAUUCAGUCUAAUUAUAUAAUAGGAGUCUAGUUUUCAACAAAUGUGUUGAGAAGAAUAGUCCCAUAAAUAUUGUUAGUCCAAAUUUUAGGUGUCAAUAUAUCAACUAUAAACUUUCCUUUAGUAAUAAAUCGAAGCUAGAGUGAAGAUAUGCAUUUUCAUAACAUUCUCAUAACAUUCACAAGUUUCAAGGAAGGUUCUAGCCAAGUCUAAUAACAAUCCAAUUUUGUCAAACAAAAAGUGGAAACAAUAGUCGUGAAGUGUGUUUGUCUUUCUUCUCUACUUAAAAUACCUUAGGGAAAGACCAAAAGAGACAAAAUCUUGAACUUAAAAGUAAAAGAAACCAAAUACUGAGACAAAAUCUUGUUAAAAGUGAAGGUUAGGUAAGAGAUUCACUUUGCAAGAAGCCAAAUAAGUUAUAGGUUCUGAUUUUUGUUUCAUCACACUAUCACAUAUAGUUUUCCAUGUACAAUGAACCAAAAAAAAAAAAAAAAAAAAAAAACCUUAAGUCCCCAACAAUGAUAUUGUUAAUUGUAAAAGAAAGAUAAUGAUUUUGGUUAAUUCAAUUGUCAACUAAAACACAAAACUCGCAAAGUGUGAAGAGGACAAAAGAUAAUGACAAGUAAAGGUUUCCAAAUAUCCUAAAAGCAAAGGUCAUGCAUGAGUUCAGGGUGGUAAGGAAGAAGCAUAAGCUUAGUUAAUUAAACUAAUCAUCUAUUUUACUUAAUUCAAAAGGGCUUAAUGAUCAAAUCAGGGUUGUAGUUAGUAAGAUUCGCGAAGAUCUUGCCAUGCUUAAACAAAUACUUAAUCUCAACGUCAAUCACGCCAACACUUUAAACUUGAUGUUAAUCUAUUUGUUAUUAUAGUAUUUUUUUUUGUAGGGACCUCAAUUAUAACCUGAUUUUAAUCAUUCAUAAUUGCAUUGAUCAUUAUUUAAUUAAAGAGGGUAGAUCAAAGAUCUAUUCAAUAAAAUUGUAAUCUUAUAAUUAUUUUUUUCUACAAAACUAUAAAAAUUCCUUUAUGUCCAAUCAACUAAUUGAACGGUUCAAAUCCCGUGACAUAGUUUUAAAAAAAUAAUGAGAUUAUGUAUAUGCUUACCUAUACUAAACUAUAUAAUAUACGAUCAAUGCUUUUACGAGGUAUGUAGACCUUCCUAGCUUUUAUAUUAUUCUUGUGUAUAUUAUGUGUCCACGCACACAAAAUACAUAGUUUCUAGAGAAUUUUAUUAAGAUCACAAAGCCAUAAAACUCGGAACUUAACCAUUAACCCAAUUUGUAAACUAUGUGGAAACAUGCCAUAAGCACUCCAUAACAAAGUGAGUGGACCAACCUAGACUCCAUAAUUAUAUAUUUUAAAAAAUCUCAUCUUAAUUAUAAAUAUAUGCACAUGCAAACUCAGGGGUUGAUCUCAUUAUAAGUCUUUAAUCUCAUCUUUCCAUUUUCAAGAAGACUUUUUAUAUAUCUGUCUCUCUCUAUCUCUUUGUACAUAUACAUAUAUAGAUAAACUUGCAUAUAUAUGGCUACUGAAACAUCUUCUUCUUUGAAGCUCUUUGGUAUAAACCUACUUGAAACGACGUCGGAUCAAAACCGGUCGCCCGAGCCAAGACCCGAGUCACGUAAGUAUGAGUGUCAAUAUUGUUGUAGAGAGUUUGCGAACUCUCAAGCUCUUGGUGGUCACCAAAACGCUCACAAGAAAGAGCGUCAGCUUCUAAAACGUGCACAGAUGCUAGCCACUCGUGGUUUGCCACGUCAUCAUAGUUUUCACCCUCAUACGAAUCCGCUUCUCUCUGCCUUUGCGCCGCUGCCUCAUCUCCUCUCUCCGCCGCAACCUCCGCCGCAUAUGAUGCUCUCUUCUUCUUCUUCUUCUUCUUCGAGUUCUAAGUGGCUUUACGGUGAGCACAUGGCGUCACAAAACGCCGUUGGUUAUUUUCAUGGUGGAAGAGGACUUUACGGCGGAGGGAUUGAGUCUAUGGCCGGAGAGGUUAAAGCUCACGGUGGAUCUUUGCCGGCGAUGAGGAGGUUCGCCGGAGAGAGUGAUCAUAGUAAUGGAGUUAAGUUAGAUAAUGGUAUUGGGCUUGAUCUCCACUUAAGUCUUGGGCCAUGAAUAAUUUGUAUUUUGGCCCAGUCAAAAUUUGUAAAUUACUACUAUUCGGAUUUCAUUUUUACAGAGUAAUAUUUUUUUUUUUUUUAUCUUAAUUUCAGUUUAAGAUUAGUGAUAUUUUUUAUCUUAGUUCAAAAAAAUCUCAUAUUCUAUGUAUGCGUUUGCUUCACUUUUUUUUUUAAAAAAAAUCAUUCUUCUUGUAAAAAUGCAAUGUGAACUAUCUUCCCUAUAUCAGUAUAUCAACUUUGGUCUAUAUUUAUAAAUUUAUAAUUGAAGCAAAUAUAUAUAAAUAGUAUUGACUGUUGAGAGAAGUUGAUUAGCAAGUCAGUGAGACUUCUUUACAUUGUUAGUUUCGUACGUUGCUAUCAGGUUUAGGUGUCUAUUUUGUUAUAAAUUGCUACUAGAUCUAAUCUAUACUUCAUCGAGGGGUUUUAACUUAAGUUUGAGAUGAAGGUGAUGAUUUGGUUAUAUGUUGCUAGCCACUAUUAGUUUUACUGCAAUGUAUGUUAUAAUGUGCACCACUCCACCAAGGUUUUCCAAACAAUCUCUCUCUCUCUCUCUCUCUCUCUCUCUCUGUGAUUCCAAAACCUUUUUGUAUAGUCUUGUGUUGAAAUUAGAACAUUCAGUUUAAGGGCUUCGUUCUUUUAAGAUUUGGUUCUUAAGCUUCUAAGUAAUUGAGAGUUCUUGGUAUGGCUUCAUAUGUAAUUGAUUUUUUGUGGUUUUACUUGAUUCAUUUGUAAGCUUGUGUGGUUUUGUUGGUUUUUGUAGUUUUACUUGGAUCAUUUGUAGUUUUAUCUAUCGAGUAGAAGUGUCAACUUAGGUUUUGGAUUGUUUGAAUUUUUAUACCAAUACGAGAAAUUAAACUGAUUAGUGUUUUGAUUAUAGUUUGUAGUUUCAUAAACUCUUUUUUUCCUUUCAUAAGUUUGUGUAUAGUCUUGAUAUAUAUGUGUAUUAAGUGUCAGAGUUAUUAAGUAUGAAUGAGCCAUUAGCAACAACAUAAAAAGGUUCUGUAAUAUGUUAUUUUGUUCAAGUUCUAACAAAGCUUUAUCUUAUUGGUCUGAUACAAAGACAUCACACGGACACAAUAAGUCAAAAAAGUUAAUAAAGGAAACUUCAAACAUACAACAAAACAUGGGAUAGUCUCUAACCAAAACAGUUAUUAAGAUUAAGAAUCUAAAGGUUAACUUGUUAUCUCUGAAGGGGGUUUCAAAGUGCAGCAACGGAGGUUAAACCAUUGAAAUAGUCAGAGAAGCAAAGAUUGUCCUCAUCCAAAUCUUUGUGACUCACUCCUCCUUCUUCCACAGUUUCAGAAACAGAGAACAUGCUUUGCUUCGUCUCACCAUCCAUCUCCAAGUUCAUCUCAUAAUCAAUUAACUGAUCAAUAUCUAGCUCUUCAUUGAACCAACUCAAGUCUUCAGGUAAAACAUUGUUUUUGUUGUUGUUGUUGUUGUUGUUGUUGUCAGAGAUUGCUAGGAUCUGAUCCUCAUCCAAAUCAGACAAGUGAAUGUUGUUGUCACACAAAUCUCUAUUAGUCUCCACCAACUGAUCUCCAUCUACUACUGCUUCAGAAUGGGUUUGUUCUUCGUUGGUGUUGUCAGAGAUUGCUAGGAUCUGAUGCUCAUCCAAAUCAGACAAGUGAAUGUUGUUGUCACACAAAUCUCUAUUAGUGAUCACCACCAACUGAUCUCCAUCUACUACUGCUUCAGAAUGGGCUUGUUCUUCGUUGUUGUUGUGAAACCCUUGCACAUUCACAGUUAAAUCAUCUUGAUCAUCAACGCAUAGACUUGAAGAACACGGUUGAUGAAUUAGGGUUGGCUCUUGACAAGUUACGUGUGAGACACCCUUCUCCUUCUUCACAUCCACACGAUCUCGACGCUUUACCAACUCUUUCAGAUCAUGCAACAUCAUCGUCAUUGAACCAAGCGCUUCUCCCAACUCCUCCGGAUUCUCUGAGUUAGCAAGACUCUCGUCUUCCCACCAAAACCCUAACUUUUCAUAAUCAUCCCGAGGAGGAGUCUGAUCCGUGAGGAAAGCUUCGACAACACUAUCGACAGAGGAGUGACCAAAACUGUAGAAAGAAGCGUGUGAGUUCGAAGAGACCGGAGUUGCUAGGAUCACCAUCUGAGCGUCGGAGAGAAGACAAAGAUCCGAAGCUUUGCUGUAAAGACCCUUACGACGUUUUGAGAAAGUAACCGCUCGUGGAUCUUUCUUCGCUAUCUUCUUUAUAUCGAUCUUCCUCUUCAAGCCAACCAUUAUGAUUCACAGACAAAAGAGAACGAGACAAGACUAUAAGAUUUGUGUUUGCUUGUUGCGAAAGAAUGUGAUAUUGGAACUGAUCACUUUGUUUCUCUAAAUCGAUAUAUAAAGACUUAAGCCUAAACUUAGUUUGCUGAUUAAUCCAUGUUACUUUCCUUUUUCUUACUCUGCUAAUCAGUAAUUAAACAACUUAAGUACAAAUAUUUUACUUUUCUGAAGUAAUUACUCAAUAACCACCUUACAUAAACAUGGUCGGUUGGGUUAAACCAUUGUUUAUUUCCUUUUUUUUCUGAUAAUCCCCUUAUCGGUAAUUUAAGUAUUACUCAAAACCAUCAGAGACGAACCAAGACCGGUUCAGUUAAACCAUUAAGUUUAUUUCUUUUUUCUGAUAUUCCCCUAAUCGACAAGUAAAAAUGGGUUUUUUGUUUUUUUUUUAAGAAUUAAAUUUAAAAUAGUGAAAUAUUUUUCUUCACUCAUGUAUUAUAUUUUUUUUUUUCAUUUUUAAUUAUAUGGAGGUUAUCUUCUUGUUACUAGUCAAAAUGUCAAAUACCCAUCUUCUUCUUAUAUAUUAAAAAAAAAAAAACUAAUCACUCAAAUCAAAUGUAAAACCAAUACAAUUAUGGAGGUUAUCUUCGUAAUAUUUAUACUAUUACGAUCGCAACAUAGAAGACAUUUUUAAAAGUAGACAAACAAAAAGAUGAUAAAUAUGUCUUUUUCUUCUGCUGAUUAUUACAAGGUAAAGAUAUGAAUAGAGUGUGUAACAUAAAUAAUAUAUGAUUAAGUUCAUCUCAGUUUGAUAAAUAUAUUGUAUCUUAUAUAUGUAGUAAAAUUGUUAGACUAGUAUGUUCUAUUGUUUCAUAAUGUAUUCUUUUAGGGGGUUAUUGGUUAAUGGGGUUUAAUAAAAAUUUUUUAAAAAGCAUACGUUAUUCAAUUAUUGAUUUUAAAAUAAUUAAAUCAUGUGUUAUUGGUUGUAUGAUUUAUAAAUACUAGUUAAAAUCAUAUGUUAUUCGAUUAGUGAUUUGUUUUCGGAUUUUAAUAUCCAUAAUAUGUUUUAAAUGGAUUUGAUAGUGCAAGAUAGAAUGACUCAAAUCUUAGGGUAAAUCAUGUUUUUCAAAAUCCAUGUAUUUUGAUUUCAUAAUUAAUAAAAAUUCACAAAUCCUAUAUAGAUUUACAAAUCAAUAAACCAAUAACGGUCCUAACUAAAUCUUAACAAAAACUAAAUAAUAUUAUUAAAAUUCAUGGGUGUCAUCAACUGGUCCUCCUAGGAAGCUAAAAAAAAAAGUUACCAUAAAAACCGAACCGACUGUAAGUGAUUCGGUUCAGGUUUAGUUUCCUUCAAUAAUAAGUUUUGUUAUAGUUAUUAAAAAUUUGUUGGUUUCAAUUCGGUCUAAAACCGUAAAACUAAUAUGAUUAUUUGGGGUUUCCAAAAAUAACUAUAAUACCAAACAUUUGGUUGAGUUCAUAAUUUUUGAAAUAAUUUUUCCAAUAUUAUCAAUUACAUGAAUAAAUUUACUCAUCAUUAUUUUCUGAGAAACUGUACAUCAAUUCAUGGUUAAUAAGAGAAAACAAUACUUGUUGAAAGAAAAUAUAGUUCAUCAUAAUAUUUUGCUUAGCAUUUAGUUGAUAAAGUAUGAUGGAAUGUACUCAAGUUUUUAAUUAUAUAAACCAUAACAAAGAUGAUACAUUUCAAGACAAAAUUCUAAUGUAAUUAAAAAAAUAUAUUGAAUAAAUCGGUAUGUUUUUGGUUGGUAAAAUAUUUUGGAAUGUACUCACGGGGGUUUAAUUAUAGAAACCAAAUCUAAUUGAUACAUUUAAAAAUUAAAAUCUUAUAUAAUUUCGUAUUAAGUUUGGAAUGUUCGUAUUAUGGCUUCAUACAACUAAAUAAUAGUUUGUAAUUAUUACUUAAGGCUAAUUAACCGACUGGUUUGAUUUAGAUCAAUAUCCCAAAUCAUCUAUCGCCCGCAGAUGCAUCAAUGGAACUUCAGUGUUCUUCAGAAACUCAGAGACUAUUUGAUCAAGGAACUCUUGAUCACACCUAUCGUAGCUCCCAAGUAAACCGUUGUUGUUGUUGAUGUAGUCAGAAACCGGUAGGGUUUGUUCUUCGGUGUUGUUGUGAAACCCUUCGACAUGGUUCACAGUUACAUCAACUUGAUCAAUGCAUUGACUUGAAGAACACGGUUGAUGAUUUAGGGUUUGCUCUUGACAAGUUACGUGUGAGACACCCUUCUCCUUCUUCACGUCCACACGAUCUCUCCCCUUAUUUUCCAACUCCUUCAGAUCGUGUAACAUCUUCUUCAUUGAAUCAAUCAUCUCUCCCAACUCCUCCGGGUCCUCUGAAUCGAUAAGACUCUCAUCUUCCCACCAAAACCCUAGCUUUUCAUCAUCACCAUCAUCAUUCCGAGGAGGAGUCUGAUCCGUGAGGAAAGCUUCGACGACACUAUCGACAGAGGAGUGACCAAAACUGUAGAAAGAUGCAUGUGAGUUAGAAGAGACCGGAGUUGCUAGGAUCGCCAUCUGAGCGUCGGAGAGAAGACAAAGAUCUGAAGCUUUGCUGUAAAGACCCUUACGACGUUUUGAGAAAGUAACCGCUCGUGGAUCUUUCUUCCCUAUCUUCUUUAUAUCAAUCUUCCUCUUCAAUCCACCCAUUAUGAUGAUUCACAGACAAAGAGAACGAGACAAUAAGAACUGAGUUGUGUUUUGUGUUUGCUUGUUACGAAAGAAUGUGAUAUGGAACUGAUCACUCUGUAAUUUUCUAAUUCGAUAUAUAUAGACUUAAGCCUAAACUCAGUUUUCUGACUAAUCGAUGUUAUUUUCCCUUUUCUGACUUUGCUAAUCAGUACUUAAACCAGUUAAAUAAAACAUUUUUCCUUUUCUGAAGUAAUUACUCAGUAAUCACUUGAGAUAAACAUUGUCGGUUUGGUUAAACCAUCGUUUUUUUUCCUUUUUCUGAUAAUCCCCUUAUCGGUAAUUAAUUAAACGAAUACAUAAAAAAUUGUUUCCCUUUUAAAGAAAAGUAAAUUUACUCAAACCUUUAUUUUUACUAGGUUUAGUGAAACCGUCUUAAUUUUGAACAAAUAUGCAAAACAAUUAAACCGAAUCUGCAAAAUUCUCUAUUAAACCGGUUUGGUCAACGGUCACUAAAAUAAGACCGUUGAAAAGGGUAAAAUCGUCAGUACAACAAAAUACCGUAGGAGCCUCCUCUCUCUCUUUGUUUUCAAUCAGACCGUUACGAAUCACAAAAAGCCAUUUUCAAUAAGAUAAAGUUCCAAACUUUGUGAGGAAGAAGAAGACGAGAGAACUCAGUAAUGGAUGAUACAAUCUCAAACCCUAGUAUGGAACAUCUGCUGUUUUCCAUCGAUCCAAUCUCCGAAACGCAACAAAAACUCAAGCUUUUGGUUGACAAUGGCGAUUACGGAUUCGAGAGAGGACCUAGAUACGGAGAAUACGCGAGACUAAGAGAAUCGAAGCUUAGAGUGAAACGAGACUUCGAGAAGAUUCUUAAAGAAGAGCAAGUGAGAUUUGGGUUCAGAGAAGAAGAUGAGAUAAGGGUUUUGCCGGAGAAGAAGACGAGAUUUGGGUUUAUUCCGAAUCUGAGGAAAACGUCGUCGUCUUCGUUGGCUCAAUCUGUUCCUGACUUCUCUGAUAUGAUUCGUAAAGAGAAUCGUAAACCGGUUAAUUCGAAUUUGCUUCCUCGGAGAACAGAGUUUACUUCUCCGCCGGUUAAGAGUAGAUUCGCCGGAUCUGCUUUGAGAGGGAGUGUCUCAGCGAGUGCUGGUGAGAAGAAAGGUAUUGGGAUGAUGCGUAAGAGCUAUGCGAAUGUUGAUGAUCUUAAGAAAGUUUCUAUGGCUGCUGCUUCUGCCAUUAACGGCGGCGGAGGAGGAAAAAGGAAGUCGCUUGGCGGUGGAGGAGGAGGAAGGAAAUCAAUUGGUGGUGGUGGUGGUCGGACUAUUCUAGGUUACAGACAAAUUUACUGAUUCUAUGAUCUUUGUUGUGUUCAAAAUCUAACAUUUGUGGCUUAAAGUUUGAUUUUUUUUUUGUUUUCCUACGGAUUUCUCUAUUCUUUUGUGGGUUUUGAUUGAUGAAAGAUUAGUCCUUUUUUCAGAUUUUUGGUUGUGUGAUUGAGGAUUUGUAUAUGGGAAAUGAAUCCACUUCUGUUCAGAUUCAUACCUAUCUUUGUUCUGUUCGAAGAGGAUCAAGUUUAACCUGAUUGUAUAAACAAUGAUAAAAAUUGCUUAGUUAGCAGAAAAGCAAACACUGAUUAGUGUCUUGAAUAGCAUAAGGAAUAGUGAAGUUACACAAACAUGAUCUUGUAGGUUCUAAAAGAUAUUAGUUUUCAGUUCAUCGAUAAGGUUGUCCCGAGAUCAGUUGUUAACUCUCCAACCAAACACCGAAGGAUUUCAUAUGCAAUCUCUGAUCCAACUCCAAAUAAAUGGGUUUCAAGAUCCAGCCAUUUCUCCAUCUCGAUGCUGAUAACUUCAUCCAUACUAAUCCGAGCUAAUCUUCCCCAUUUUGGAACUUCUUGGAGAACUCCUUGAAUCAACUCGUCAGGUUUAGCAAUCAAAGGCUUUAAUCCUCCACAAGAAAUGUUUCUUUCUUCCAAGUAUUCGAUCAUGGCAUCCACGAGGAAACCUCCUGUUAGUCCAGGGAGGUUGACUAGGUGAUCAGAACGAGCUGCGUAGAUCAUGAGUUCAUCGAAGAGUUCUGGACCAAUGAAGUAGUUCUCUUGUGUAGUUGUAGUACCAGCCAAUAGCUCGGUAUGGAUUAUGACUUCUCUUGCAAUUGUGGAUCUCUGCUGCGUUAACAUGAGACCCGUGUUGCUUAAACAGCGGAGGGUGAUAGAGAUAUGGCUGACAAGACUGGCGAUAGCUUGAUAAUGACUACCGCUUUUUGAGUUCUUGAAUGGAGUCAAAGAAUCUUCAAGAAUGUCCCAAUCAGGUUCUAUAGGCUCUAGAGGUAGCUUCAUCUGUCCUGGAACUACAAAUCAUAAUAGCAGUUUCAGGUUUCAAAUACGAGAACUGACUUCUUUUUUGCAGGAAACAGUAGUCUGAUUAAUGUUACGUACCUGAGAGAUUGUCAAAGCUAUUCGAGAAACAACUCUCAUUGGAGAAAGAUGCAUCAAGUACAGAACCUGGACUCGUGUAUUCACUGUUUGCAUUUCCUAUUGAACUCCACAACUCUGGUUUGCGUUUCCUCUGCAAGAAUCAAAAAGCAAAAUGAAUAAAGAUAUAAUACUAAACGGUGAUGUCCUUGCAGGUUAUACACAUACCCGAUAAGCUGGUUCUGCGUAAGGCAUAUCGAUAUCUCGAAUAUACCGCUGCUCCAAAGCUAAAGAAGAUAGCAACUCAUGGAGGAUCAGAGAUGCUGAUUUAUUGGGUAAAGCACUUCCUCCCACAGCAUCAUCUUCUUCUUUAGAAGCCAAUUCUUUCAACUUUUGCUGAAUCAACCCAAGAGUGCCUACAUCAAGCGGUGGCCUUGGAAACGAUGUUCUUGAGUUUCUUUCGCCCAUCUGAUGUGCAACACGUCGAACUCCUUUCCUCUCUUUGGUUUCUUUAUAACCUUGGCUAUAACUUCUAUGAGGGGAACAACCAGGUUUCAAUGCAGUUUCAUUGCUACCACUGGGGUCAUUACUACAUGGGCAUGACCAUUCACCAUCUGGUCUUCUUGGCACUGGCACUGGAUUCAUUAAGCUACUUCCUCGUUCGUGACUACUAUCGCAAGCUAUCCUUCUCUUCCGCGCUGGACUGCUUAAUCCCGACCUAUUAUAAGACUCCUCAGCAAAUUUUCUCUGGAGCUUCAAGUUCCUACUAGGUGAACCUCUAUUCAUAGCUAUAAAGUCUUUCUCUUUACAGUUGAUUGCAUUUGCAGGUAAAGAACAACCUCUUUUGUUCUGCAAGGUAACACCCGGCAGCGAGAUUUCAUCCUUACCAUGCUUCCCACUAAAGUCAUACCGGGCACGAUGAAGAGCUUCCCUAGCCAUUUGAUCUGUACUAUCUUUAGCAAAAACAGAAGCAGAUGGUGAUUCUUCAUUUCUCCAAAACACAUUUCUUUUACUCCGUUGAAAAGGCGUUGAUUCAGAAACACAACUCAUGUUCUUUCCAGUUUCUUCAGCUACCGGACUUGAACCAUUCACAUCAACCAAGCUACCACAUGCUUUACAAGAAGCAACACUACUGUUAAAACCACGUUGCAACUCAGGCAAAACAACAACUUCAACUGGUUCUUUCAUGGCAUUGUCAAAUCUUCUAACCCCUGAAGAACCUGGAUAAGCAAUAACACAUUUCGCAUUUCUCUUCCCUGGUUCCAAAAUCCUAUUAGCAGCAUCAAUCAACCUAGAAUUCCUCCUAUUAAGCCUCGGACUUCUAACAGGAGAAGCAAGCUUCUGAUGCUGAUGAUGAUGACUAUUAUACUGAUGAUGUUUCCUAACACGAGUCAAAACAUUCUUAAUCUGCAACGCUUCAGAACCAAACUUCUUAACCGCAACACGUCUGUCACAAACCCCUGUUGUUCUCUGCAUCUUCUGUGGCCUUAACUUAUCAAAACCAUUCUCUUCUUCUUCCCCACCAAACACAUCACAUCUACUGUUCUCCUGAAUCUUUGGUUUCUUCUUGUUCUUCCCUUUGUCUCUAUGGUUAGAUGGCAUUGAGUCAAGCCCCAUUAAACGUGCUACUAAACUAGGAGAUCUCAUCUCAUGCUUUUUAAUCUCCAUGACUUCAUUCCUAUUAGGAAAACUUCCUCUGUUCUCAUCAUCAAUCUAUAACAAAGAGUAUUAUUAGUUCACUGUAACAACUCAAUCAAACUAAAGAUAUAAACUUUGACGAAAGUGAGAAACAUUCACCAGAUUUAGCUUAGAUUUGAGCAUCUUCUCAUUCCCUCCAAACCUCUUCGACACUUGUUUCCCUGAUACAACCAUAGAUAAACACUAACUCAGCAUCAUCCAUUUUCAGACACAACCUGAGAAAGACAAAAACAGAGCGAGAAAGACAGAGAGACAAAGGAGGCAGUGAAAGAGAGAGAGAGAGAGAGAGAGAGAGAGAGAAACCAGGAAGAAGUGAUUUGCGAGAAAAGAGCUUCUUUUUAGCAAAGCGUCGGUUCCAAUCAAAGAGCUGAAAGAAAACACCGACGCAACCACCGAGUCGAUUAGGCCGUUUCUCAGUAAUGGCCGCACACGGCGCCGUCUCCUGUAACUCUCCCGUCAUCAAGAUGACUAAAACAACGAAACCCUAACAAACCCUCUACAAGUUCAGAGAGAUCUCAAGCACAUUGCCUCAAAAUCCCAAGACUUUUAUCACAUAAUCAAGAACGAAGCAAAGAGCCAAAGACCCAGAGAAAGAAAAAAGGAAAAAGUCUGAUACUUUAUAAAAGUAACUCAGCUUUUGUGAACUUGGGGGAAUCUCUCAGAGAUGAUGAAUGUACAUCAUAAACAUUAUCAAUAGCUUAGUUUUACGAGAAUAAGGUAAGAAAGAAGACAGUUGGAAAUGAAGAAAACGACAAUGGUACAGUGGAAGAAGAAGAAAGAAAAAAAGAAACUGAAGAGAGCUUUAAGAAUCAUUACAUAAGACAGAAGCUUUGUAGUUAGAAGAAAGAAGGAAAAAAAGGUCUUGUGUCAAGAAUUGAGAACUCAACGGGUAAUAUUCGCAAUUGGGACUUGGGAGAGAGUAAUAAAAAAAAGUGAAAGGAGACAAAAGCAACACGAUAGUGACGAGAAGUGAUUGAAAGAGAGGUGAGGACAGAGGAGAUUAGAUUAGAGAGAAGAGAGAGAGAGAUGAGAGAGUUGUUGUUCUGUAAAAAUUAUUACUGUGAUUCUCUUCUGUUGUCACUCACUGGCGGUGAAAGGGGCUCGAGAGAGAUUGUUACAGAAGAGAGAGAGAAGCAUGCGCACAAAAGGUUAAGUAGCUGAUACAAAGUAGACUUAUUAGAGAUGGUAAAGAGCUUUAUCGAGGAGUUUAAAAGAGAAAGACAAAUAUGCAAAGAAACAAAUUGUUUUUAUUUUUUUAUUUUUCGGUUAGUGGUUCUUGGUUAAUCUGGUUUGGGAUCGUUUACUAUAAGUGAACCGAUUAACAUGAUUUUUAGAUGGGUUUAGGUAUUGGUUCAGUUCACAGAAUUGAAUCAUUUAAUUUGAAUGGUUACCUGACUAAUUUUUCUUUUAAAUUGUUUUUUUAGCCAAAGUAAAUUUUAUUAUAUUAAAAUUUUUAAAAAAAUUACCAAAACAGAAAUGAAAUCUUUGUCAGUAAUAUGUAUCCAAAACAGAAAAUUUGAUAACAGAACCGACUUGAAUUAAAUACUUUUUUCUAUCAACGAAUUAAAUACUUAUUCGGAAAGUUUUCAAAAAUCGAUUAAUCGAAAAUUUAAACGAGUAACCAAAAUAGAACCAAAGUCUUCAUGUCUAUAAGCUAUGAACAAAUAAACUAAUUUCUUAUUUUACUUUACUAAAACUCUAAUUUCUUUUCUUUUUAUAAACUAACUAACCAAAAUAAACCGGACUAUACAAAAUUUACGGAAAAAUAUCAAACUUAUUAUCAGAGAUCCAGAUAUUUUUACGGAUUAUAAAUACAAAAUCGAGUCGAACUAUUCAAUAACCAAAUUGAUCCGAACCAAAUAUUUCAAUACCAAAUAAUUCUUAUAAGAUAGAUUAUAUACAAUUAUUCAGAUUUAUAAAAAUUGCAAAAGAAAAAUAUAUCAAACUUAUUCUAAAAUUUAGAAUCAAAUCGAACUAAAUAGGUUUAUAGACCUACAUACAAAAUCGAAUCGAAAUAUUCAAUAACCAAAUCGAACCAAAUAGGUUUAUUGACCAACAUACAAAAUCGAAUCGAAUUAUUCAAUAACCAAAUCGAUCCAAACCAAACUGUUCAAUACCAAAUAACAAUUGUCGGAUGAUUAUAUUAAAAAGAAAAAAUUCAGAUUUCUUAUGAAACUAAAAAAACAAAAUAAAAAUAUAAUAAGGGUUUCUCAGAUAUAAGAAGCGGAAAAUGUGGUUCCGAAACUCGAACAUGACAAGAAGGUGAAAGGUUCGAGAGAGGUUUCUGUUUCUCGUUUUUGAGGAUUCCACCUUCCUCUGUAGUCCGUUUUCUCACUUCCAAACUUCUUCAUUGGUUUUUGAAACCAAUACUUGAAAAAAUAAUACAACUUUCUUCUUGGCCAUAUGAUUUUCUUGUUGGCCAAUCAGUUAAAGACACGUGGACAAUACAUCUGAGUGUAAUUAUUUUGUGGGACAAAUGAAAGAAAAGAAAAAAAAAAGUUGGAAUAGCCAUUUUUGGUGAGGCUAAACAACGACCUGACCUUUGUGAGAUGACAAUGGUGUGUGAUGGGGUUUUUAAGAGGUUUGUGGUACUAGUUUGUCUCCUAGGGCAACAAUAACAGUAUAAUAUAUAGGUCACGAACCAAUGCUCGUUAAGAAUGAUAAAAUUAUUAUUCAUGCAUGUUGAAAUCAUAAUUUCUUCUGUAGUCUUAAAGACUAUAUGUGAUAAGGUCCACUACUGUUAUGUUAACUUAAUUAUGUUUAGGUAAGGACUUAUAAGGUUCAUGGAUAGAAAUGAAUACAUGUAUAGAAAUGAUCGUGCAGAGUUGUAAAAGGUUAUGGAAAAAAAAAACAUAAACUUUUAAAUCUGUUUCAAGUUUCUUAUAAUCCCAUUAAGGAUUUUUAUCUUGUAAGCAAAACUUAGGGAUUUAUUAUUUUUGGUAAUGAAUAGUUACCAAAUUGUUAUUUAACAUAUUAGCUAGAUAUACAAAUUUUCUUUAAAUUUAACAUUUUAAUUCAUCAAAAAAUUAUGGUUAUAUGCAAUAAUCCUCUCAAGUAUGAGAUUAGAGCGAGAAAAAUAUUUUUUGAGUUAAUUACUCAAUAAGGAAUUUUUUUAAUGGCAUUUUUGGUUUUGCCGUAAAAUCUUAUUGAUUUGCCAUAUCUCAAGUUAGAAAAAUUUGAUUAAACACGCGUUUUACUUGUUAUGUUUGUGUUUAGUCGGUUUUAGUUGUCUUUAGGGUUUAAUAUUUACUAUAUAAUACGUCUUUUAGCAAAUAAAAUCAAAAAAUAAAAAAAUUUAAAAAUUCGAAAAUGGCAAAUCCACAAAAAUUUUAGCAAAAAUGGCACAUUCGUAAAAUUUGUCUUAGAAAAUGGCAAAAUCCGUAAGAAUCCUAUUUUUUCUCGGAGGAAGAAAAAAUUAAAGCAAGUAAACUAGUCUUCUCUGAUAUCAAAUAAACUCGAUUCGGAUAAUCAUACAACUCAAAUAAUCCAGAUUUGGGUGAGUUGUACUAAGAGUACUUUAGGAAAAGUUUUAAGUACAACUCUAAGUAGUCCAUAGUUCCUAAAGCUUUUAUCAAGACCUAGUAAACAUACAACUCUAAGUAUAUGUAUUUCCUAAACUUUUAUCAAUACCUAUAUCCAAUGUUGUUGUGACUAUUGUGUUAGCUGCAUUAAUCAAAGGGUUCAAGAAUCAAGACUCAAAGAAGAGCUUCAUUAUUUGUAUACUUUAGAUUCUAGUAAAAUAAUAAUAGUGAACUCCAUAUAGUGUAUGUCCAUAGAUAGAGAUAGGUGUAAAAAAGUUUGAAAUGUAAUAAGACAGAAGAAAACAGAGUUGCGUCUUUGUCUGAGUCUGACGAAUUCUGAAAUGUCACGGACAAGAACUCCAUACACGCUAGGAAUCUCCCACUUAUACUCAAAUCACACUGUACCAAUUGUAUUAUUUUCUUCUAAACUGAUAUAUAUAGUUAUUUACACAUACGUUCAAUAUUUUAAAAUAUUUUGUUUAGCUAUAUAUUGAUAACUUUUAGUAAUAUAACUGUUUGGAAAUUCCCAACACGAAAACAAUAAAAAAGAAGGGAUCAAAUUUUGUCAAAAACUCAAAAAUAAAGAAAAAAAAUACUAUAGCAAUAUUUUUUUUUACUAUUUGAGAAAAGUAACAUUUUGACCAAGAUGAAGAGAGACAAAGAUUCCUGGUGCAUUUUCUAGAAUACUGUGGUUUUGAUUUAACAUAAGGGUGACAGUUAUACAGUUAUGGUUAUUAUUAUUUUCACCAGAAUAGUAUAUUUGAUUUUUUUUUGUAUUGUAUAAAUUACAUCUUUUUUUAAUAGGCAUCAUAUGUUUUGUAAAGAGUAUAUGUAUCACAAACGCAUGUUUGUAUUGGUUAUGGAUAUUUUGUCCAUAGUGAGAUGCAUUCUUUUUUAGAAACCGAUUUGUAGUGAGUAAAGGAAAAAAAACUGAUUUUGAAAUUAGACUAACAUAAAAAUAAACAUGUGAGAUAUUCAUAGACUAUAUGAUCAAAUAACAUAUUAUUUUAAAAAUAUAAUAUUUUAAAUAAAAAAUUAGAAAAUGUUAUUUUCAAAAUUUUGUAUGCAUCACUUUUUUUUUUUGUAAAGGAAAUUUUGUAUGCAUCACAUGAGGCUGAAUUAUGAGUGUGCCAUUUUUAUUCAAAUAUGUAAAAAUACUAUUUUGGCACAUUUAAAAUCCUUUUCUUUUACUAAAAUACGUAUUUCAUAAAUCAUAACAUAUAUUAAACCUUCCAAAAUUCACAAAUGCCACUCAAAAAAAGUUAAUAUCCGGUAAUUAACUCCUUCCGAAAAAUACAAAAUUUUUUGAGGGACCAUCUAUUUUUAAACGUAGCAAAUUGUUUCAAAAGAAAUUAUGAAAUAUACACAUGAAUUCAAUAUUUAAAUAAAUAUAUAUACACAUGCAUUUAAUUUCAAAUAUAUAUACUGUUUAUGAGAAAAAAAUUACAAAAUAUUGUCAAAACAAUAGAAAUAGUUAAGUUUUCGAAUAAAACUAGUUAAGCCAAUUUUACCAUUUUGAAAAAGCAACACUUUGACCAAGACGGAAAUUUAUUUUAUUUAAAAAAAAAAAAACUCAUGAGGCAUUCUGUAGAACUCUGUCGUUAGGAUAUAUGUGAUGUGUUUUUAGUGUAUAAAAGGUUUAUUAAAAAUUUACAAUGACAUGUCGUGUUGCUUUAAAAAAAAGAAAAUUUAUAUAUAUUAUAUUUUCUUAUGGGAAAGAGGAUACGUGAUUUAUAAGAUCAUUAUAUAGACAUUUACCGUUACACAUAUUAUUGUCAAAAUUUAUAUGUUUAACAUAACAAUUGGGUCGCAGAACUGCUAGCUUUAUCUUUUUGACCACAUGGGUAUAAACCUCUUGUUAAGGUCCAUUUGAAAGCUUGGAAGUACCAUACCCGUGAGAUACCCUCUUUUUAAGGAUUAAUCUCGGAUCCUUCCAUAGGUCUGGGGAUUUACCCUAAGUUAACAAAAAAGAAAAAAAAAAAAAAAACAUAAUAAUUGUGGACAUAUGAAAAAAAAAUACUUCAUAUUCUUACAUGCAAAAGAUGUUGGGCUUUUGAUCCAGAAAAAUAUGUUGGGCUUUGGUUUCAUGAACUUAAACAUUUACAAGCCCGUGGAAAUAUUGUCCUUUAUUGCUAAAUGUUCAAAACAAAGUAAACCACUCAGAGCUAUAUCUAUUGUAGCCUAUAUCAUUUAGUACAAGUACAUGUACGUUGACUUGGUUCAAAGUUGACUUUGCAACUUAAACGUAAUUAAUGUUUUGAUCAAAGUAAAUAAAAUAGUUGGAACAAUUAUGGUGUUAAAUGUUAAUUAAGCGCAACCGAUUAAGUAAACUCAACUUGAGUAACAUAGAAAAAAAAAAAAAACUUGAGUAACUGAAUAUAUGAACAAAAAUAAGCUGAAUAAUGAAAUUGAGAUGAAUAAACAGCAGAUAAAUAAAAAUAUCUAAGUUGAAUAUCUAAAUGCCAAGAAAUAUAAUAAUUUAAUACUAUUACUGUUAUAGUGUUAUAUGUAUAAUAAUAUCAAAAGUGAUAUAACUAAAUAUUUCAACUUAACAAUUAUUAAAAGAAUAAAAAACAACUAACAAAUUAUUCGUUUAUAUACGAAUACAAUUUUUUUUAUUUGUAUUUAAUCAAUAUGUAUUAUUUUAAAUACAAUCUAACAUUUUUAAUGAAAACCACAUCAAAAUUUAGACAAUAUUUUCUCACUAGCGAGUUUAUGUAAUUCUUAUUUUCUUUCACUUCAACAUUUUGACCAAUAUUGGCAUCAUUCAUGUUUUGUUUCUCAUGAGAAAUAUCACUUUUUAAAAAUUAACAUUUUCAAUAAAAAUGUUGUUUCGAUGAAUAAAUAUGUGAAGUUUCAUAGUAACAAAUAUUAAUAUUAUAUUCUGGAAAUGUAUUUAAAACUGUAUUUUUCUUCUAAACUUUGGAUGUUCGUUCAACAACCGAGCAAAGAGAUGUAUGUUAAUUGUAUAUUAUUACAUUGCAACAAACUAUACAUAUAGUUGAAUUAAUUUUGCAUUUCUAACUUUUUCAGUCGUACUAACUCUUGUAAUUAAAAAAAAAUCAUAGCUUUUCAGAUAUUUAGAAUCCAGCAAUCAUUCAAAUCUUGAAAGAAAAUUUGCUAAUUAGAAGAGGUCCUGAACAACUUAUGAAAAGAUGUUUAAUUUCCUUAGGAAAUGAUUAGUACUAUGUAUGUACUCUUACUGGAAAGGUUUACAGCUCUAAGAUGAUAAUUAGAUUUAUGUACAACCGAGAUUUCGAAAAUAUCAAUUUGAAAAUAAAAUAAUAUGGCAUUUGUGUGAAAAUGAGAGCACUAUGAUUACUGCGAAAUUGCGGAAAAUAGAUGAAGAACUGUUAAAAGAACGUUAAAAAUGUAAAUUAGUAUUAUAUACAUUAAAAGAGAAAUAACAAACAAAUAAUCACGAUAUAAUUUGUUAGUAAAACAAAUAUAAAACUAUAUAUUUUAUAUCUAAUUUGAAUAAUAAAAUAUAUUUUACAUAAAAUCUCUUGUACAUAUUUAUAUAUAUAUAUAUAUAUAUAUAAAUUAUUGUUUCUUUUGACCAAAAAAAUAAUAAUUAUUGUAUAUAUCUAGAAGCUGUUAUAUUUUUUAAGAUGGAUAUAUAGACAAAAUAGCUUAAAAAAGAGAUUUGUAUAUAUAUAAAAAGAUUGGACCACAUGCUUUUUUCUAGUGCGUGCUAUAUAGAAACAAACUCUAAGUUUAGUAGUACUCGUUUCUGAAUAAUUAAAAAGUUUAUAUAAGUAUGUUUACUUAUUUCUGGCUUAUAAGUUUGCACGUGUUGGACAAUUAAAUACCUUGUGCAUGCAUGAAUACUGUAUUUGUUAAUCAUAAUUUAACUCAACUAGCUAGGCUCUCUCAAUAUGAUCGGUUUGGCCCAUGCAUGAUUGAGAUUUUAAUUAUAUCUCUUAAGCAUAGGAACCAACUCGAAUUUUAUAAUAUAGAUUAGUAAACCUAUCCUUAUAACGAAUAAACUGAACAAAAUACAAACUGACCUCCAAAUUUGGUGUAUAACUAAAAUUCAUUAAAAUCUAAACUACAUUAAACAUAAUUAAAGCAUAUAAUAAUUACAUAAUCCACAUUAUUCGUUUCCUCCAUGCAAAUUAUUCUUGAUUGAUCAAGUGCAUGAAUCGAACCUAAUUAGUACCUAACUAGCUAACCUAUUGUAGUAUUGUUUAGCACUUUAGCUCAUAUUAUUCUUUAUCCAUGUGCAUCGAUCAGUUUUAUAUUAGCAUUGUCGUAUGUUAUAUGAAUUCAGCCGUAAGUUUCUUUUAAAGAACCAUGGAUUACCAAAAAUGUUUACUAAAACCACAACAUUUUUACAAUUAUAAAUGUCAUACUGUGAUAACACUAACUAAUACCAACCGCUAAAGCAUAUCUUCUGGCUACGUACGUACAACAAAACUUAGUUUAGAGUGUGAGUGUUAAUUAUGGAAACUAACAUAUAAAUAUAUUGAAUCAAACUCAAGUGUUGAUUUUGUUGUUUUUAACCAAACAUCCAAGCAUUUCAUCGUACUAAAAUUGACAAUCUGUGGUUAUUACCAUUUAUUAUGUACCGAAUUUCAAAUUAACUUCACCACUUUUAUUGCAAGAGGUUAAUAUAUUUUAGUACCUCCGACAACAGCAGCACAACUCACUCAAUGGCUUGACAAACAAGUUAGGGACAGACUAUUUUCAAUUCGGAGAGCUGGAGGUAGGCGGUAUGACGCGGAUUUUCAAUUAUGGAUCCAAUCUCGUGGCUAAAAUUGUUUUUCGAUUUUUUCUCAAUAUUGUUUCAUAAGCAUCUUUCUCUAUCAAACGAUUCACUAAUUGUAAAAACGUUAUUUUUCUUUUGAGUAUAAUUUAACAUUAAAUUCAAAAAAAAAAAUUAGUACCAAAGCAUCAUAAAUUACUCGUAAAUUUCAUGUAUUAAAAGGUACACAUAUAAAGAAAAACAAGUUUUUGAUAAUAACUUUUUUUUUUUUAGAAAGAAGAAUAAAAAAUUAGUGACAACCAGAAGAGAAUAGGAUUUAAAGUGUGUUUUUAGUGAGUGCCCUACAAACCAUGUGGCGGUUGACAUCUUCUGGAUUAUAAUUGUCAUCCAUACUUCCUUGUCUUAAAAGUGACCUCUAAAUAAACAGUUUCACUACAAUGAUAACUUCAUCUUUCUUUUAUAAUAUGCAUGACAACUAGUUUUGUAAUGCAUUUCAAGAUUAGUUUUAAAAGGACUUUGAAGUUUUGAACUAUUUAAUAUCCAAUCAACAUUGGUCAACAAACUAGAAAAUAUACGAUAAGGAUAUAUAAACCCCUUUGCAUGUAAUUAAGGUUCUGAUUAGAAUACAUAUAAGUGCAUGUCUUCAUAAAUUGAGUUCUAUACUUCUAUAUAUAAACUUGUGAGAAGCUUUUAUAAUUUAUUUGAUUCCAAUCAUGUUAACAACAACAACUGAUAAAGUUAUAUAAAGAAAAAUAUGAAUGGACCAUUCGACUUUUUUCAAUUAUUGCUAAAUGUUCUAUACUUUAACAUGAAAGAAUUCAAAAUAAUUUGAAUGUGUCUAUAUAAAUAUAUUUUUUGAGCUUUGUGUUUUGAAUUAGUAAUAUACUUCUUAGAUAAAAAAAAAUCACAAUAUUCAAAACUAUUAAGAAAGAAACAUUAUCAUGAUCGAUCAUAUAGACGUUUCACCCUCUAGCUACUAUAUAAAGGACUGCCCAAUGGAUCCAAACGAUCCAUGGUUUGUUGUGUACUUGUGCAACCCUCGUUAGCACACAGUCGCACAUGUAUGUGUUAUUUAAGUAACGAGUUCGUUUUGGACUACACCUAUUGUUUCGUUAUAACCAUCCAAUGCCCACAAACUUAAUAUCCUCCAACACUAAAAGAAUAUGUGAUAACAGUUGGAUGGUGCCAUCAUUGUUUACUUGACUCUUGACUAUACAUAUCUUUCAAACAUCAUUACUAAGCCUUAGAAAAAGUCUUAUUCAUCGCGAUCAGAUUUGGUGUUGAAGAUCGAAUCGUUUCAUUUUCUAAAAUCAACCUAUAAAUUAAAGGCAUUGGAGUAUAAAUGUUUGAUAUGAAUCGUGUGAACUAACUAAGAUUGAUAAGCUUUAAAAAAAACGUAGAAAACAAUAAAGGAAUAAUUGGCACGACGUUAAGCUAAACUUUACAUGGAAAUGAUAAGAAAAAAGUAGAGAUUUCACAUCAAUUUUUUUUUUUUUCUUUUGCAUUGCUUUAGUGAUAAUUGACAUUAAUUGGGUAAUACACACACACACACACACCAUGUGAGAAAUAUUCAUAAAGGAACAGAAUAGGACAAGCUCCAAAGAUAAUUGUUUACCUGUCACUUGUCUUGUCGCAUUUUCUAAUAAAACUUAUCAUUGUUAUUUUUUUAUAUAGUUUUAUCCUUAAUUAGUCACUAUUUAAUUACCAAACAAAAAAUGUUUUAGUAAUAGACUAAGUCAAGGUUUUAUAUCUAUGUCUUCUUUAUUUCAUAUUAAUAUAUUUCAAGUUUCAACUACUAAUUUUAUUAUAUUUGGUUAUUCAAGUAAACGAAUCAAUUUUAGAAUCAUUGAUUGAGAACGACACGGCCUGCUGAAACCUACCUUUACUUGAUCCACAAUUUUGCCCAAACAAAUUAGUAUUUGAUUAUUUUGAUCCAAUAAUAUUAAGACUAAUUAAAGUCAUAUUAAUUUGGUUUUUGGUAUUAAAAAUUAUUUAAAAGUGGAAACCAAACUUAGAACAUUAUUUUACGGAAAAACGUAUAAAACAGUACAAAAUUCGUAAAAAUAUAAUAAAAUUAAUAUAUAACUUUACAUUAGCAAUAUUUUUCUAAAUAAAAUAUAAAUAUUCGUAAGCUUUAUUAAUAUCAAAAUAAUACCAAGAAAAUAUGACUUAGUUCUUUGCCUUAUCUUUAUCGCUCUAAUUAUAAACUCCCUAACUAUUUAUAUAUAAAUAUCUUUAUGGUGAUUGGUGAUGAACAAAUAUCUGAAAUUAGCAGCCUCAUAUUAAAAAAAAAAAAAAAUCUAGAUUUUAUAAACAUUGAUAAAGACAAACUACAAACACAAUUACACCACAUAAUCUAAACAAAUUAUAAUAAAAUCUAAAGAAAAAUAAAAUAAAAAACUCAAAAGGGUUGUCAUGGAACCCCACAAAACACACUGUCAGAAAAUCUUCAGAGAGCUUCAGAAGAAGAAGAAGAUGAAGAAGAAGAACAAAUCAGAAUCAAACAGUAAAAAAAACCCAUAAAAAGACAUAAACUUACUCUUUACAUUCUUUUUUUAUCUCUUCUUGUUCUUGUCUCUUCCAUUACCAGAAGAAAACAUGGAACCAAAACCAAACAAGUUCCCAGAAGGGACAACGUUUAUAACCGGACUCACUCUUAUCCCGUUACCUCCAUGGCUACCAUAACUAUACCCUCCAUAGCUUUUCUUCAACGGAGGUUUCGAGAAACCAUUAUUGCUACUACUCAACGAAGACGAAGAUGAAGAAGACAACGAUGAAGACUGCUGUAACUUAACAUGCUCUGUGUGUUUCCUCGAGCUGCUCUGUUUCUGUUUACUCGAUGUUGAACCGGUUGAGUUACUCCGGUUUAACAACGGCAAAGGGCAUAAGCUUCGUCCGUAGCUGCUUCCACAGUUUAAACUACUGCUUCUCUUAAACCCCCAAAACGACUUCGUAUUGUUCUUCUCCUCCGCCGUCGUGGUUAUCACGUCGUCUUCUUGUUCCUCGUUCUGUUUCCUCUGUUUUCUUGAAUCCGGUUUACUCUUAACCGGUUUCGGUUCGGGUUGGUGCGAGUCUUUAACCGGUUCUGGCUUUUUCUUAAUUUCGGUAGGUAAGAUUUUGCCGUUGGAGAAAAGCUCGUCGGCUGACCAAGAACCUUGAUCGAAGCUUUCGCCGGAAGUAACGCCGCCGGGAAUGCAGAAAUCGAAAUCUAUGCUUGAGUUGAGGCUUGAAGGUUUCGAGUUUGAUGAUGAUGAUGAUCUCAAGGGACGUUUCUCUAUUGGUAUUGCGUCUGAUUGACAAAAGUCACGUGAAAAUGAGAUUCUUGGACUCAUAUUUGAGUUUUCCGAUAAAAGAUCCACCGCCAUUUUCUUGAUUUUCUUGAAAAUAAAACAAGAAUUGUUAUAUGUUUUAUGGUAAUGAGAAUUUUUGUGAAAAAAAGAUGAAUAAUUUCUGGAGAAAAAAGAGGAGAAUGAAAUUAAUAUUUCCGAGGAAGAGAGAUAGAGAGAGAUGGAUUUGAGGAAGAAGGUGAAGAAGGAUUAGGUUUUAAUUAUUUUUAUAGGUAAUUUUUAGGAAUUAAAUUGAGAAAAAUUAGAAAAUAAUUAUUUGUUGAAAAAGGAAGAAUAAAAUGGUAGUAAUGUAUAUAGAAGGAGAGGGGGACAAAGAAGCGUGUCGUUUGCUACAUAUUCACAUGCAUGGGCCAAAAAAGGAUAUAUGUUGGUUCUUCACUUUCGUAUCUAUUUUUUUUUAAUUUAUUUUUUUCUUUAUUGUAUAUAUGUGUUUUUAUAAAUUGAAACUUUUGAUAAAAGAGAUAUUGAAACUUCUGUAAAAAGAAAAAUUAUUGAAGUCAAAAGAGACAUGUGCAGACUGCAAUGUUUGAAAUGUUUUAGAUGGUUGAUGUUUGGAUUCGGGUUGACAAAUUUUGAUGGAGCAGUGAAUAUAGACCAGCGGUGUAAAAGUUCACCGACGCGAUCGAGACUUUAGCAUACAAUUAGAUUUUGUCUAAGAGAACUUCGUGAGAGAUUAAGGUGAAAUUUGUGUGUUAAGGAGUAAUCGUUUGGGUAUUUUUUAAGGAGAAAAGAUUAACUAAAUUGUUUGAGUAUUGUAUAGUGUUUGCGCAAGACUUUUGAAAAAAAAAAAAUUUUGAUAAAGAAUUUUUUUUUUUUUUAGAUUGUCGGAGAGUGUUGUGGAUUUUUGAUAAAGAAUAUAUAUAUAUAUACAUAUGUAUAUAUAUAUAUAAGUGUUCUAAAUAGGAUUUUAACUAUAUAUAUAUAUAUAUAUAUAUAUAUAUAUAUUGUUUGCUACAAAUAUAUAUAUAGUUAAAAUCAUUUGAAACACUUGCUACAAAUAAUAUCAACAUUUUUAGCAUACGAUAUAAAUGUUAUAAUUGGUGUCUAUUAUGUUCGCGACAACUAUCUUAGCUAGAUGUUAACUAUAUUUUAACGUUUUUUGUGUAUGUUAUAAAAAUUUCUUCUACAAUUGAGAAUUUGUUAUUAGCUAAUAGUUAUAGUGAAAUGCUAUCAAUAAAGAUAUAUUUUGUAGUUUUUGUGUAAUGUUUUAUGAACAUUUUUUGAUAUUUAAUUAAUAAAACGUUUAUUCAUAUAUCUAUAUAUAUAUAUAUAUAUAUAUUCUUUUGUCAUCUAAGUAGUUUAUCUAAUUCAUUUCCUUUAGAUAUUUUCUCAAUUAAAUUAUCCAUCCUCUUAGGCCAAAUUUUUAAAGAAAUUAAUUUUACCAAGCUAGGAUAUCUGAUAGCCGGAUUUUGAGAAUGGAUCAUGGAUCGGUCACUUAUCGAUAUUAUUAAGAUAUAUUAAAAUCCAUUAGAGUAUUGAGAUGUAAUACAGUUCUAUCCUAUAAAGAAAUCUUAUUAUGUAUAAAUAUUACUCUUAUGUUAAUGAAUAACCAAGUUUUUCUAAAUUAUAUCACAUAUAUAUAUUAUGUAUAGUUCCGAGACCAAUGACUUCGGAACACGUUACAAAACACACAUGGUACGUCGAUAAGUUAGUGUGAUGAUAGUAGUGGUUAGUGGUUACUGCUUAGGUAAACGAGAAUGUCCCAACGUACACUUCACGUUAUAUAUAAGGUCGCGCACUAGCCACUCUUCGCAUAUGAGGUGUUUUGGGAUGAUAUUGACAAUUCGUUGGUGCUUCUGAUUUGAUAUAUUUAACCCAACGAUAUAUAUUGUCAUGGCUAAAAAAUUUAGUUGAAGACUUUGAAGUGUUAUCCAAAUAGCUAGUUCAACAAACUAUAUAUUUUUAUUUGCUAUUAAAACCUUGUCAUCCAAUCAUUUAUUGGCAGUGACUAUACCAAGUACCAACUACACGAUGGUUUAUAUAUAUAUGAGUAUUGAAUUAGGAGCUAAAUGAUCAUACAUUGUUGUCUUAUUAUUAGUCAAGUUCUUAUAUAUUUUAACCGAGUUGUUUUUGUCUUUACUAAUUUAGAAAUAUUCGUAUAUUUUAAGAUUCUCAUCACUUUAGGUGUAGUUUUAAUGGUUAGAUAAUAUAAUAAAGUUUAAGAAUUAUUAAAAAGAAUAAGACUGGUGGCCUUUGUUGAUAUUUCCAAACUAAUGAUAAGGGCAGACAAAUGUCUAUUACAUAUCAAGUUGUUUUUUACUAAGUUGUUGUUAUCCACUUUUGUAAAAUAUGAAAUGUAUAUAUCAAAGAUUUUGUGGUGUCUUUUAUUUAUAUAUUAAAAAAUAAUUUCAUAUUAUUUAUUUUUCAUAUGGAUCGUUAUUUUAUACAAUAAUGAUAUUUUUUUAAAAUUUGUUUUUAUUUAUUUAUUUUCUAUCAUAUAAGCUAUAUGAAAACAAACUUAUAUAGCUAGAUAAGAAACGGGUCUUCAUCAUCAAAUAACUUGUAAGUUAUAACAAAAAUUAAUCUCUAGUUACUAAAAUCUAUAGGCUACUUAUAUACUGUAUAUAUAUGUGAUAGAAAAGUCUAAUUUCUUUAUUUAUUUUAUUUAAAAUAUAAUGAGUCAUCUAUGCGAGUUUGCUUUUCAUAAAAUUGAAAUCGAUAUUUUCUUAAAUUUGAAGUAAAGAAAUUGUUAUUGUGACAGAAAGAAAUAAAGAGAAAAGGAGAUUUCAUAUUAUCUAGAGAGUUGUAUAAUAAAACUUUACAUAAACUUAUGAAUUAUGUGAAAAGAAAUAUAAAAAAAAAAAAAACAGAAGACAAAGUAAGCAUGGCCAUGCAUGGGUCCGAUAUAUAUAUAGCAACGUACUUACUGAAAACGAAGAAUCCCACUAAAAAGAGAAGUGAAGGGUUAAGAGAUGGUCCACGUUUCCUUUACUAAGAGAUAGUCCUCUUCGGAUCGCACCACACGAGCCCCACCUUUAAACCAACCCGACCCGAUUCGACCCGACCAAAACUUGCCUACUUUGGCUGCUCUCGAUAAUACUAACAACGAAGCUGUCCAAUUCAGUUAGGGUUUUGGUUAUGAUGACGGACCCUAGUUAUAAACACUAGAGAUGGUCCAGUUCCGACAAAUAGCAUUGGGUGAUGUUUUUUGCUGACAAUUACCGAACAAUAAUAAUCAAAACUGCUUUUGUUUUCUACAUAAGUUCUAUACAUAUAAGAUGAAAUGAAGAAAGCUUCUUAUUUUUUCUCUAAAUAUUGAAGUGUUUUUCUAGAGAAACCUUACAUGUAUUUUUGUUUUAUUUUAGAGAGCAUCUUAUAAUAGAAAUGGUCUUAGCUACAUCUCAUUGAUACUAUUUAUAGAAUUGUUUAGCUACAUAAGAUUAAUGAGUACUAUUAUCAUCUGAUAAUCUAAUAAAAAAAGUCGUUGGGUAAUUUGGUAGAAGUAAUAUAUUUUACUCCUGAAUUUGAAGUGUAUUAAGUUCUCUAUGUUUUUCUAUAGAGAAACCUUACAUGUAUAUUUGUUUGAUUUUAGAUCUAAUAGAAAUUGUCUUAGCUACAUAUAUAUCACUAAUACUAUUUAUAGAAUUGUCUAGCUAUAUAUUAUUAAUUAGUACUAUUUUUUCGUCUAUUAAUUAGUACUAUUAUCAUCGAAUAAUCUAAUGUAAAAUUAUCGCUGAAUAAAUUUGGUAGAAGUAUAUAUUUACAUUUCCACACUUAAAUACACAAAUUCAUAUAAAGAUGUUUGAAAUAUAAAUAUAUGAACUGAAAUAAUAUAUAAAUCACAAUAAUAAUAAUAAUAAAAAAUGAAAGUUUUUUUUUCUGAAAUGAUUGUGGUUUUCACUAGAAAAGAUGGCGAACUAGGCUUCAUAAAAUUUAAACAAGCUCUUUUACGUAGUCUCAUUUGCAAAGAUCAAAGACUCACGGGGACAUAUAUACUAUUAAAGCUGAAGUACCCAAAAUAUUGACCUUAUAAGAAUAACCAUCUUGCAUCCAUAUACUACAUAUGCAUAAUAUUUUGGUCCCUUACGCUAAGUACAACACAAUUAGUCAUGCUCUUUAUUUCAUAAUAGUAAAGAGUUCUAAAGUUUAAGACUUUAAAUCAUAUACUAACCAAACCUUUAUGAAAAAUACAAAAAAAACAAUCAAAAGUUAGAACUCUUUAUGUUUAUUUCAUUAAUGCAUUUAAUGUAAUAAUUUUACUAGAACAUCAACUAUAUAUAUAUAUAAUUAUAUCAUAAUAAUUAUUAGAAAAACUAAGAUAAAACAAAGAAAAUAAGUAGAAAAUAGUAGAAAAAAUAUAAGGAAAAUGUAUGAAAAAUAUAAGCAACUACGGCUCUGUUUUUUUUUAUGUGUGAGAUCCUCACCAGCUACUGAUUAUAAUCUGUCUUAUUUUUGUAACUAUGAGUACUUUCUAAAGAGUAUAAUUAUAAAUUCUGUAGAUUUCCAAUUAAUUAACUCGGAGAAAAAGAUGAAGAGUCCUACCAUUUUCAUGUCUCGAGUUUCUUUUCUCUAAGUUCAACAAUAGUGAUGUUGAUUAUAAAGAAAGGUAGUGACAGUCCGGAUCAAUGGUUCAUAACUUCAUAUUAUGUCUAAAGGAGUGUAUAAUCAAAAGAUAAAACCCCUAGUUGCCAAGUAUUCUAACUAAACGUAUAAUCUCAGUAAGAUAUUUAUAAUCAACCGAACAUAACUUCUUUGUUGUUAUUGUUGUUGUAGUUGCUGUGUAUUAAGGUGGUAGAGAUCGUGGAACACUUGCUAAAAUUAAACGAGUUAAAGCUUGAGGCCAAGGCCACCAAGUCCAGUAGUGUUCAUAUGUUGUAGGCAUGUCUUUAACCUUAUCGUCCCAUAACCUAUGAUCCUAGACAUGAUCACAUGACUCAUGUAGUCAUGUACUUGAAAUAACAGACACUUGAGCUUUUUCUUUUCAUUAAUAACCAUAUAUUUUGUACGAGCGUUAGAUAAUUUUACAGGUCGUCGUAGAGCUAAACACUCCAGAGUUUGAGUAAGCACCGUUCGACUUUGUCAUAUGGCGGACAACGAGGACCGCUGCAUAGUAUUGGUAUUUGGUAGGUUACUAUAUAUAUUUCAACACAUACUAAUUCAAUUCGGAUGAAGUGAAUACGAUAUGUUUGUCUCAUACUUCGACCAAUUUCUUCAUUGCUCUCUUUUAUGCUUUAUUAUAUAUUUAUUACUCAUAAUCUACUUAUGGUUAAUUAAUUAACAUAGUUUCGUACUACUCAAUACAAUUCCAAAAUUUCUAUAAUUUUUUUUAUAAUAAAUGUUUAAUAUUAAUUAAAACUAAAAAUAUAAUAGUUUUUUACAAUGAUUACAAAUUAAAUAUAAGAUAGUUUAUAAUAUUAUAUAAUUCAUAAUUCAUAUUUAUAUACUAUUACCAAAGAUACAAUUUUUACGUCCACCAUUACUGGCCGAAGUAAUUUCGAAAGUGUGCGAUUUCAUUUCCAAAAAAAUUCUAAUUCUUUUUCGGACAAACUAAAAAUUGUAAUACUAUUAAACAUAAAUUGAGAAGCAAUAGGAAAAGAAAAUUGUUAUUUAAAAAAAAAUUAAAGAGCUAUUGAAAUAAAUUCUGGUGAUUAUUUUUUUUUUGUUUCUGCUAAAAUGUUAUUUUCGUAAGUUAUACAAAAUAACUCAAAUUAUAUUUUGAAAAAAAAAAAACUACUCAAACAGAAAACAAAACAUUAAAACGCGUAAGAUCUGGUCAAUGUGGUCACUAGUCAUGGAGGAUGGGUCACCUAAUCAAUCUUUUUCUCUCUAAAAAAAGAUGUUAAACAAUAAUUUUCUCACAAUUUCCUCGAACAAGAUGAAGAAGAAACACAUUAGACAACUCAUUAAUAAAAAAUGUCAAAAUCUCAAAAAACUAAGAAACCAAUCAAAUUCGUCCAUUUUUUUUCCCUCUUUUGCUUUUUUUUUCUUUCUUCUUUCUUCUUUCUCCUCGUCACUCUUCAGAUUCCGGGAAUAAAGAGAGAAAAGUUUCAAUCUUUUUGUUAGCCGGAGAUGGUUACGCCGAACUGGGAACUCCGAGGUUGCUGUAACCGGAAUCAGAAUACUUUCCUCAUCACCAUCGGAAUCUUCACCGUCGUUAUCCUCUUGGUCAGUUUUAAUAAAGUUUGAAACUUUAUAUGUUUUCUUCGAUUCAAUUGAAGAUCCGAAGAGGUUUUUGUAGAUUCUAGCCAAAAGGGUUUCUGAUUUUAGUGUUUAUGCAACUAUUGACCUAUAAAUUUCAUUCAAAUUUUGUGAUUUUUGGUGUCAUAUGUGUUGAGAUGUUUACAGAGGUUUCUUGUGUGGGGUUUUGGUUUUUACAGCUAUGGAGGACAUUUCUAUUGACUCCAUUUAAACUUAUUACGGUGUUUUUGCACGAAGCGAGUCAUGCUGUUGCUUGCAAGCUUACUUGUGGAGAUGUAAGGAGCUCUCUUACUUACAACUACUAUUCUUCAAUAAAAAUAUAAAGGGUACAAGUUUGAUUAUAGGUGUCAACUAAAGUAUUGAACCCUUGAUUCAGUUUGCAAAAUGUUGCUUUGCAAAAGGCAUAGAAGAUAUUAUGGUUUCCUAAGAUAGAAAGGUUAUUGCUUUAGCGAUGAUGUCUCUGUGUUCUCUCUGGACAUGGCUGUUUAUCACAGGCUGUCAUGUCAUUUUAUGUUUUUCUCAUUUGGUUAAUAGAACACAGUUUUAUCCUUGCUUCAUAAGAUUUGUAUAUGAUUCUCCCUUGCUUCCAUUGUUUAUGUGUUUGUAAACUAGUAGCUUCUGUCAGUAGUCUAAGAAGCCACGACAUACAGUGAGUCUACUUGAAGAAAUCCAGCUGCUUAAGCAUUUGGUGUAAGUCUGAUAUAUCUAGCUUUGGAAUCAAUGUAACAGAUUUAGGUGUUGUGAGUUGGUUAGUGAGGGCUGGAUUUAUAAAGAUGCCCCUGCAGAUUGUUUAGGGUGUAGAUUUAUAGGAUUUGAUUGGCAUUUCGGUUUAGUAAUUCUCUAAUAACCAGGAGUGUACAGCUUCAGCUCUUACUAUAGUUCUGAUGUGAUGAAAUCCACAAACUUUUCUUUCCAAAUACUGCUUCUAUGAAUAUGCAAGUUUUACACCCCUGAACAAAACUUUUAUCUUUGGAAAGUCUAGGUAUAGAUUACUGAGAAUACCAUCAAAUUUAUGAACCAUCUCUUUGUAAAAAUCUGCAUCUCACAGUCGUAUAUAAUGUGGAUAAUGCUUAUCUUUUAACGUAUGUCCCUCAUUUUGGUUACUCAUUUCCUUAAUGAAUCUAAAGGUGGAGGGUAUGGAGGUGAAUGCAAAUGAAGGGGGUUCGACAACAACACGUGGUGGCAUUUACUGGCUGAUCUUACCUGCUGGCUGUAAGGCCCAAUCUAUCUUUAUCCCUUAACCAAUUUUUUCGAAUUUAGACACUCCUUUGUUGAUGGAUUAUAGGUGAAAGGGCUAAAAAGUGUUACCCUUUUUUGUUGUUUGAAUUGGUUAUAGAUCUCGGGUCAUCAUUUUGGGGAAUGGCUUUGAUUCUUGCAUCUACCAAUCUGCUUACAGCAAGAAUAGCUGCUGCUGGUUUGGGUCUUGCUUUAUUCAUCGUCCUCUUCAUUGCCAAAAACGUAAGAAGUUACUAUUUCGCUUAUUUACAGAGUCUUAUUUCCUUAAAAGUCAUCAACAUUAAACAUUGACAUCUUCAAUUUUGACAGUGGACGCUUCGAGGUCUUUGUAUAGGUGUGUUAUCUUAUCUCGCGCGUCCUGUAAUUGCAUUUUCUUUCUAAGUACCCAAAAUGCUUAUAUAGCUGUAAUAUUCCCAGGUUUCAUAGUUUUCCUCGCUAUCAUAUGGGUUCUACAAGAGCUAACUACAGUCAAAAUUCUCCGUUAUGUCAUUCUAUUCAUUGGUGAGAUACUAUAAAACUCUUGUCUCUUCUCUUGUCUCUCUUGUUAACAUCAUUUAAUUUCGUUUAGCCUAUACUAAAGCUGGAAUUACAAUAUUGCAGGUGUGAUGAAUAGCUUAUUCUCAGUUUAUGGUAUGUAAAUUCUUAUCUCCCAUUUCCUUAAAGUUAUGACUUAUGGACCAAUAAUAAUAUGGCUGCAAUGCACAAAUAUUAGAUAUCUAUGAUGACCUGAUAUCUCGGAGGGUCCAUUCGAGCGAUGCUGAGAAGUUUGCAGAGAUCUGUCCUUGCUGUACUGGUUGUGGCUGGGGUGUCAUCUGGUUAGAACUAUAAUCCAACUCUCAGUAUUCACAUUCUGAAAAUGAAAAUGAAAAACCGUUUUUUUCUAACAAACUGUUUUCGUUUCAGGGGAAUGAUAUCUUUUGCAUUUCUUUGCGCAUCGCUCUAUCUUGGCCUAGUGAUCUUAUCGUAAAACCGUCAUUCUUUGAUGAAUCUGUUGGUGUCUCUCAGGUUCAGAUUCUUCUUAGUGAAAUGCAGAGACAAUAGAUUGAUGAUGACAAAAACAAAAGAAAACUUGAUUCUUUAUUAGAUCCCUUGGUGUGUUGGGGGAUUUACAUUUGAUUGAAACCAUAGGGUUUAUUUGAGAGUUUGUAAUGUAAAAUUCAUAGGAAAAAUAUUGAUUUGGUCUCUGUUUAUUGUAUUGAAAAGUUCGUUGACUUCUUCAACAGAAUAGAAAAAAAAGGUCCAUUGACUUUUUAGAUGAGCUAUUCAUUCUUGAACGUUGAAAUUGUUAAAAGCUUGAAUAUAUAAGACAUCUUGAUAUCAUCGUCUACAAGGUUUGGUCAUAUGGUUUUCGUGUAAGAAAAAUAGAAUGUUUCUGAAGAUAAUUGUCGGAAUUAAAAAUUUGAAUUGAUAAACAUCAAGUUUCCUAAGUAAGCUAUAUAGAGAAAUCAAAGAAAAAGUCUUUCAACUUUGGUCUACACGAAACGAAUUUGUUAAACCAAAAACGUUUGGUCUUGAGUGGUUUCUAGUUUCCCAUUUAUUUGAUAUCCCAAAAAAAUAAAGAAAAACCAUUGACUAACACGGUUUGAAAUUGACCAAAUUUGAAGAAUUCUUGUAAUCCCAAUGAACAACAACAACCUAUCCACAAAAAUUGGUGCUUACAAAGUUUUUUUGGUGGUUCAUAUCAAGUUAGUCUUCUCUUUUUGGUUGAAAUGUAAAUCCCAAAAAUAACAAAAAAAAUUGUAUAUAUAUUUUUGUUAUUAUUAAAAAUUGUUAGUAACGUGGCCUAACUAAUCCCAAAAACUAGUUCAAGUGAAGAAAAAUUGUCACAUCUUAUAUAUAUUAUCCAAAGAUUUUAAUCCCAUAGGAUGUGAGAUUUUGGGACUCUAAUAGAAAUGCACGAUAUUUUUUUCCUCGGUUGUUCCACACGUUACUAUUGAGAGCCAGAUUUUUUGAACUUUUUUCAAGAAUCAUUACUAUUCUAUCGAGAUGUAACUAAUUUGACCCUAAAGAAUAUACGUUUUUAUGUGUAGAUGAUGCUCUUCUCCAUAAUAUAUGUUGGAGAUAUGCCAUAAUACGUUGACAACAUUAGGCAAAAAGAACCGGGUUCGAUAAGUUGAGGAAUACCAAACCGAACACCAACGACCAACUUGGAGUCGUACGUACGUGGUCCAAAAAGAAAAAAAAAGAAACUCAAUAAGAUACAAAAGAAGAAGAAGAAGACGUAAAGCUCAGAUUUGGAGCAUAACGAACUCCACGUCACGGCCAACCUUUUCUUCCCAUACCAUUGACGACGUCUUCCAACAGUAACCCUUCAUUCUCUAUACCAUUCUACUCCACCCUCACAUUCUCUUUUUUGUUUUCUUCUUCUUCUUCAUCUUCUUCUUCUUAUGAGUUUCCUUUAUUUUGUUUUGUGCAACAAAAAAUGAAUGGCUCGUGAGUUUUUUGGCAUAGAAGUAAUCACGUAUGGUGAUGUGAUGUCAUGCAUGAGAUAUAUAGUUGCAACUUGUAGAUAUAUGGACAAGUUUGUGUAAAGAAAACUUGCAUCCACGAUAUUUAAAGUAUUAUGCAUGUUGUAGAAUUGAACACGUGGUUUAAAAAUGUCUUGGAUAACCACGUUUGCAUAAAAUUUAUUUGGGUUUUAGAUUUCCUUAUAUAGCAACUAAUCCACGUAAAUUCUUGGAUUGCUAUGUGAUAGCAAAAAUUGAAAAAGAUAAUAAUGUUGACUUGUAAAUAAAGUAAGAAAAAUCAGUUCUGUCAUUUCAGAAGAGAAAGUAUGUCACAUGUAAAAUGGAUUCAUUGAUACUUUUCAUGAGAACUUCCCACAAGGAAGCCAUUGACCUUACCUUUCUCUAUAUCCAGCUAGAACAAAUUUUUAUUUUGUUUUAUUUAUGAAGUCACAAGAACUUUACGUAUAAUAGUUGGGGCUACAUCUUAAAGAGUAUUUAAUUAUUUUAUAUUAUGCUUGGAAUAUUCAUAAUUUAAAAUAUAUAUGGUAAAGUAUCAACCUAGGCUAAAAAGAUUUGAAUAAAAAAGAUUUAACUGUUUUCGAUUUUAUCACAAAUUCAUGUACAAGAAAACUUCUAGAAAAAUCAAAACAAUUAUCCAGUUCCGAAUUGGCAAUGCACUAAUUAACACAAUUUUAGAUGACAUAUAAUUAGAAAAUAAUAUUUUUGAUAACGUUAUGUACAAAAUAUAUACAUAUUUCUUUCAUAUUAAAAAAAUAUAGAUUGAUGAAAACAGAAGGAUAUGGAUUAUAACAAAGGUUUUUAAUUUUAAAUAGAAAUUUUAAAAUCAUCAAAAAUUAGGUAAAUCUCAUUAUAAAUCCAUAAUUUAAAAUUUGCCGAAAAAUUAAUACUUUUACAAAUUCAAUAAAAUAUCUUAAUUAAUAAUAAAAAGUUUUAUCGAUAUAUUAUUAGUUUAUACGCGUUUUUUUGUUGUUGUACGUGGGUAUAAAAAAUAUGUAAAAUCAGUUUCUGUGUGAUUUGUAGGAUUAUUCAAUAGUCAACAACUUUUUUAAUUUGUUUGAGUAGCAUUAGCAAUUCUUAAGAGGAACUCUUUUUAAAAUUGUUUAAACUUUAAACAAUAGCCAUUAGAUGAAGCCGAGAAUCAUUAGUAUUCCAAGCGAAAACACAUUUAAUUUACAAAUAUGUAAUGUUCUCAACGCAAAGAUGUUUUGGUAGGAGGAAGCAUGAUGUCUCUUUCAAGAAAUGGUGUCUAAUCCAAUAUGAAACUAUUCUCUCUUAGUCUAGAUUUGAAGUCUUUUGUGAGACACAAGCAACUAAAAAAAUAUAGUUGUGAUUACAGUAGCAACCAUGUGACAUAUAAUUUAUGAAAUAAAUCUAUUCCAUAAAAAAAAUAUAAACUAGUUUACAUUCAUAUUGUACAUUUUGAUUCAUUCCAUAUAUUUAAUGUUCAAUUAAUAUAUGAUAAGAAAAAAAAUACAAUAUGGCAAGUUUGAGAAUUAUAAUUCUUACCAUAUUUUUUCUUGAUUCUCAAGUUCUAUAUUUCCAAACCAAACACGCAAAUUCCUAUAUUAAUCACAAAAUUAAAAAAAAACAGUUCUCAAAUUAUCUUCCAAAAAUGGUCUUUACCUCUAUUUUGAGCAUUUUCAGAUUUCUCCUCCACGUCUACUUGAUGGUCAUGGAUUGGUUUCAAAGACGAUGCGUUCUCUUCUUGUUCACACGUAAGUACUCUUAUUUUUUUUUGGUGCAAUCAUUCACACGUAAUUAUAUUGUAUAUACAAAAUUUCAUAUAAUAAUAAAAUUCAAGAAAUUCUCGUGAAUCUAUUACAAAAGAAAAGAAAAAAUCACUUAAUUAAUAAUGCAUAUCUUAAUUUCUACAUAAAGAAACACAUAUUUACACACUUGCUUGUGUAUUAAUAUUCUUAUUUCCAUAUUUAUAUGAUUUUGAGUAUUAUUUUUUAACCCUCUUACAAGAAAUACAAAAUCAUUUCUAUUAUAUAUAGUAGAGAAGGGUUACAAGAAAAGCCCAUCAUCGGUCUUUAUACUAUUAUCUGUAUAUUCCUCUCUGAAUUCAUAAAAUGGGUGCAGACGCAAACGCAAUACAAACGAACGGUCACGAUCAAGGCAAGUUAACCGGCGGUGAAGAGAUCCAACGGCUGAGAUGUUUCGUCAAGAACUACGAAUGGGGCAAACUCGGACCGGACUCAUUGGUCGCGAGACUCCAAGAAGCGAAUUCUGGAAGACGAGUCGACUCAGCGGUUCCUCACGCCGAGUUUUGGAUGGGUACUCAUGAGUCUGGACCGAGUCAUGUUGGAUUCGGGUCCGGGUCUGAUAAAUGCAUGGUUACAUUGAAAUCGUGGGUUUUGGAUCAUCCGGAUUCACUCGGGUCUAGAGUCGUGGACAAGUGGGGUUACGAUCUCCCUUUCCUCUUCAAGGUACCAAUUCCUCUGUUUUUUUUCAUUGCUCUGUUUUUGUAAAGAUGUUACAUUUGACUCUGUUUCUUUUCUUCAAAAAAAUUGGAUUUUUCUACAGUUAUAACUUGUAAAGUUUUGAGUUUUAUAUAUAUAUAUAUAUAUAUAUAACAAUACNNNNNNNNNNNNNNNNNNNNNNNNNNNNNNNNNNNNNNNNNNNNNNNNNNNNNNNNNNNNNNNNNNNNNNNNNNNNNNNNNNNNNNNNNNNNNNNNNNNNAUUGGAUUUUACAGAUUCUAUCUUAUGGUCAAUUUCUCUGUUUUCUUUGCUCUGUUUUGAUGAUGAUGAUACAUUUUGUGAUUUUGACUCUGUUUAUAUUAUUAAAAGUUUGGGCUUUUCUUGUUUCUUUACUUAAAGCAUACAGAUUUGUAUCUAAAAGUGUUUGAAAUGUGAAAUUUUGUUUAGGUAUUGUCAGUGACGAAAGCAUUAUCGAUUCAGGCACAUCCUAAUAAGUCAUUAGCAGAGAAAUUGCAUAGAGAAGAGCCUCUACUAUACAGAGAUUCUAACCACAAGCCUGAGAUUGCUCUCGCAGUCACUCCUUUCCAAGCCCUUUGUGGUUUUGUAUCUCUUAAGGUACUUUACACAUUUCAGAUCUCUCUCUCUCUCUCUCAUUCUCUGCAAAAAAACAUUUGUGUCAGUCUGUGGUUGAGAUCAACAAUAAAGUUUUCCCUAGAUCCGGUUUGGUUUAAAGAAACUGUAUCGUACCAAUUUCCUGGUUUGAUUUGGUAUGGUUCACAUUUGAGUUACAUAAAGUUGAUUCUGAUUUGGUUCUGCCAAAGCUAAAUUGAACCGGUUCUGUACCUUAUGUUGAAUCAGGAGCUGAAGGAGGUUAUAGCCAAUGUACCAGAGAUUACAGAGCUUGUAGGAAGCAAAGCUGCAGGUCAAAUCUUCAAAGUCCAUGAACACGAUGACGAAGAAAGAAUCAAAUCCGUUGUUCGAUUGAUCUUCACGCAGUUGAUGUCUGCAAAAAGCAGCAAGACAAAGCAAGUGAUAUCUCGUAUGAAGAUUCGUCUGAUCUCUGAGACUAAACACCGUGAACUGUCGGAUAAAGAGAAGUUAGUUUUGGAACUGGAGAAACAGUACACUGGUGACAUUGGUGUGAUCUCAGCCUUCUUCUUUAACUAUGUCAAGCUUAAUCCUGGAGAGGCUUUGUAUCUGGACGCGAACGAGCCACACGCUUAUAUCUCUGGCGACUGUAUCGAGUGUAUGGCGGCUUCAGACAACGUUGUUAGAGCUGGUCUUACUCCUAAACACCGCGAUGUUCAAACCCUUUGCUCUAUGCUUACCUAUAAACUGGUAACUUUCUUUACACGUUAACCUUUUCAUAACUUUCUUUACACGUUAACCGUUUGGUUUUGUUAGUAAACCAAAUACGAGAUUGUUUUGGUUUAUCGAUUAACCGGUAUAUCGGAUUUUUUUCAGGGGUACCCGGAGAUUUUGAAAGGAUUCCCUCUGACUCCUUACGUUACUAGGUAUCUACCACCAUUUGAUGAGUUUGAAGUUGAUCACUGUGAACUUCCUCUAGGAAGAUCUACGGUUUUACCGGCAGUACCGGGUCCUUCGGUUUAUCUGGUUAUUGAAGGAGAAGGGAAAUUACAAACCGGUUCUACUCAAUUGUUGGUUAACCAAGGAGAUGUUUUGUUUGUUCCAGCUCAUAACGAGAUUCACAUAACCGGAGAAAGUGAUGUAAUGAAGCUUUACAGAGCUGGAGUCAGCAGCAGAUUCUUCCAAACGUUAUAGGGCUAAACAAAUAUUUAAGCACAUUAACUAUACUAAUUACUAUAUUACAUAUAUAUAAGCAAAUCAUAGAGACCAAAAUCUUUAAAUUGGUAGAAACUGUGGUUUAAUGUGUAAUCCCCUCCAAUGGCCUGUUGCAAAUUAAAAGCUCAAGGGGUUUAUUUUCUUAUAUUUACUUUAUUUUAUUGGAAUUUUUGUUUGUGCAAUAUUUGUUAAACAAAAUAUAUGUAAAAUGAUUGUAAAAGAUUUAUCCCAAUUUUAAAAGUAUUUCAUUUUCUCACCAACAUAUUGGGGGUUGUUACUCUCAAACUAUAAUGAAUCAAGAAGUCAAGGCAAUUAAAUGAUAGAGUUUAUGGUAAUUCAAUGUAAUAUGAGAAACUUUUAUGAAUUUCCAUUUAAAAAUCAGUUGACAAUUAUGGGUUGUUCUAAAUUUCUUAAAUAUGUUUAAAUUAUAUCGUACUUUUGAAGUAAUAAUGUACAAUCUCACAAUAGUCAACUAAGAAUUUAUCUUUACAUAUUUCAUUUUGAGAUAGAUAAGAAAUUUGCAAUUUUUUUUCCUUUACAAAAAAUGUAAAUAUCUUUCCAAGAAAUUAAAGUUUAGCAAACAUUUGUAGUCUUGAAAUCUUAUUCAAAAGUGAAUUUGUAUAGUUUUACUAAAAAUAGAAUCAAGAUAUCGAUUUUAUCAUAUUGUAGUUUGGUACGAUAUAUAAUAUAGGAGCAUCGUUAUUGCAAACCUCUUAGACUUGAAAAAGGUAUAUUAGCACAAUGUUUGGUAUCUUAUGCUCUAAGAGCCUUGAAGUUAAACGAUGAAGCUUCUUUAAUGGAGUAAAAUGGAGUAUAUAUAUCUUCUUCACAGUAAAUGCAGUGGUGAUGAUGGCUUUCUAACGACUAUUAAAUACACUCCAUGAAGACUCAUCCCAUAUUAUAACUUAUGUUGCAAUCAAUCAAACCCUGUUAUGGCAAAACGUGGAAACGUUACGAUCCUGAUCCUCUAUGAAACAUCCUCACAUCAGACUUUAGAGCCUCAAACACUUUCAUCUAGUACUCUUUGGCUCUGCCCUUUAGAACCAAACCUCCCACGAAUCCCUCAGUAACCAAAUCAAAUGCAUACCCAACAAUCCCAAAUCUGGGGGGAACCAAAGGUGGCACUUUGUGCACGUACGUUGGACUUAUUAUAUGCGACAAUGAUGGUCCACACUCUUAAGUCAAACAAAAUUAGGUAAACCCGUGUCUCAAAGCACUUGAUCUGCUGAUGAGGACAUGACUCACCCACUCAACUCAACUUUUAAGAACUCGACUGGUAAUACCGUACUAGUGUUUUCACAUCAAAUCUUGUACUUAAUGUUAACAUUUGAAAAACUUGGUGAACUUAAAUCUUUAGUUUAGUAGUAUAUGUGAAGAGGAGGAGGUUUCCGAGUUGCAAAAUUCUGCAAAAACUCUCAAGAUGUAAACUUACUGCAAGAUUAUAUAAAACCAUCAUUCCAAAUCUUGUUUGGUCUCAUUGAUUCUGUCAACAACUUACUUCAUUACAAACUAGUUUAUGUUUAAUUUUGAUCCGAGACAAGCGUACAAUGAAAACCAUCAUUCCAAAUCUUUAUAAGCAAGUUAAAGAAAGUCGAUGAGAGACCAAGAUCGCAGGUUUACUUGCACUGGUUGUUGGUUAAAGCUUUGGUUACACAAUGCGAAACGAUUCCAACCGGGCAGAAGAGAAGGCAAAGCGAAACAGAAUGCCUCGUUUCGAUCUGGUUCAGUAAACCAUCAUUAUAAACUUGCCUACAAGAGAAAACCCAAAACACGCGUUAUAAGAAACAUGUUCGGAUAAAUUCAGAACCCGGUGAGAAGAAGAAGAAGCCCGGAUAUAUAUACCUGGCAGCGAAAAGAUCGACAACAAGAAGAUGAAUCCACGCAGAGGCAAGAGUCAUUUCACUUGAGAACAUUUUUGCUAUCCCCGACAACUGCAGAUGAAAUUAAACUUUAGAAAUUGCAAUGAUACAUUAUCAUAGAAAAACUAUACGCUUGUUUUCGAAUGUUUCAGGGAAGCAAAGUACCUCUGGCAACAUGUAUUUACUAGAAAACAUGUACUUGAGUGUCUCGGGUGUCCAAGAAAGGUAUAACAAAUACGCGUAUAACACGCCUAAGACGAUAUACGGUAAGCUACUCUCCAUACACUUCUUGGUCUGCACAAAGAAACAUAUAUACUCAAUUUAGAUCCAAAUUCUUUGAGUCUGCACGAUAAAUUGCAAAACUUGAAAGAAAAUAUAAUCUUACAAUCUCAGCUUUUGGAGCUACAACCAUAAGAGUGUAAAAGGGAAGAACUGCGGUUGUUCCAACUGCAAACACACUACUUGCAAUCUGAGAUGUAGCCAACACUGCAACAUAAACAUAUCAGAGAUCAAAACCACAAAAAUGAGUGACAAAGUUUCAAGCUUUAAGUUCAAUGAAAGUGCAGAGAGAGACACAUUACAUGAAGCUUGUACGCCAAAGACUUUCUUGUAAACUACAGAGCAAGAAUUCGAUGAAACAUUGGGGUGAAGAGAGAUUCUUGAUCCUCCAACGAAGCUCCAAGGAUUAUCUAAUCUAAUUCUUGAAGAAUCAAGAAAAAGAUCCGAUCUUUUAACAGUAAUGUUGCGUUUCAUCAUCUGAAAUCAACCAAAAAAGAAUGAACUUUUUUUACUUCAUCUCUUAAAAAUUCAGAAACUUUCAUAUAGAAACAGAGUUUCUCUGAAACAGGUGACCCACGGAGAAGUCAAUUCAAUGAUAUAUAAAAAAAAACAUCAGGGUCAAUUCAAAACCCAUUAAAUUCUCCAAAUUGAGUCAAAAGGUAAAGACUUUAAGGUUAUCUAUAACUAUAGUAAGAACCUCAACACAGAAUCUAAACCGACAAAAGAUCCACAAACACUAAAGUAUAAGUGAGAUUUGGAGAUAAAAGAAGAGUACCGAGAGAGAUGAAGAAGAGAAAGGCUGAGAAAUGAGAGAAGUAAAAACCAUCUUUGAUUCAAAACUUCAAUACCCUUUGCCAAAACCUGAUCCUUCAUUACCUAACUUAACCAAACUCUCUCCAUAUAUAGAUGGAACACUGAGUAAUGAUGGUUUGAGAGGUGUUGUUUCCACUGAAUACGGAAGUGGAAGGGUGAAAGAAAAAAGUUGUCUUUCACUCUUUCUUCCUCAGUGUGUCCACAAUUAUAUGCAACACGUUUUUUAUUUGCUCAUACAGUCCUCCUCUUUAUAAAUUUUUCAUCUUUUACUAUCACUUUUCCUUUUUAAUAUAAUUUAGACAUUUUUUUUUGACAUCGUAUAAUUUACACUUAUUUUUUUUAGUAUAAAAGUUAACAAUUCCUUUCGAUUUCAUUUUAAAGUUUUAAACUACAUUUUUUUUUAAUAUUGGUUUACUUCAAUGAAAGAUAUCAUUUAGUACUUUAGUAUAUAAGUAUAUUUAACAGAUAAUAUUUUUUAGUGAAUCAUCGUUAUAUAUUGAGAAUUCAACAUGUUGAUCAAAAAAAAUUUAUAUGCAUUGGCUUUGAUUGGUAACACAAUUAAAAGUGGUUGGAGAUUCAAUCAUUCGUUAACUUAGUUACUAAUUAGAUGAACCAUCGAAAUAGACGUAUGAAACGAAUAGUAGAAGAUAUGGUUAAAAAGAUGGUAAAAACUCAAAUGAGCCGGUUGCCAACCGCGUCGUUUAUAUGAUGUUGCCAAUAUGAGCCAUUAUGUGAAAGGGAGAUGGAAGUGAAAGUGAAUUUAGGUGGACAAGAGACAAGUCUAGUUUCAGAAAAAGACAAAGGUUGGUGUUGCUCCCAUUAAUUUUGUUAAACAAGAAAUAAGAUAGAGAUGUGGUUAAUGGCUAAUAAUCUAAAUAUAUAACUCACUGCUUGAGAAAGUGGAUGAAGUAAGAUAACUUGGGUGGGCUAUUUGGUAUAUAACUUAAAAUUUAAUUAAUGGGCCUUUUGAUCCACCCAUUUUGUUUUUCUUUUCUUUUCUUUUGUAACUCCCACUUACACUGUUCAGUCAACAAAUAAAAACAAAUUUGUGGCAUCUUUCAAUCUUGUUGUGGGAUUUUCGCAUUUCGAUGUAUUCGAUGGCGACCAAAACUAAGAUUAAAUGGUAAAAGAUUUUUUCCUUAAUUUAUAAAAAUGUUUUUGAUUAUAUUUUCUGAUUUGAAAACUUUUACUAUAUCUAUAAACUUCAAAAACCGCAAAUUCUUACAAGCCUCAUAUAUCUUAUCCUAUUCCGACAAGUACCUAAACAACAUUACUACAAAUUAUACAUUUCACACUAUAGAGUUCAAAUAUGUGAACUUGGGCCAAGUCAUUUGAUUGAGGAAAUAUAUAAUAUGAUCCACAAGAUCCUUGAAUAUACUCUUUUAAGUGAAAAAUGAAUAUUCGAGACCUCUUAUCAAGAAUCCUAUCCUAAAGAAAGCACAUCCACUUAUGUUUCCAUCACUAGAUUUCAAGUGGGUCAUCAUCAUCUUUUACUUCAAGAUAUUGUUUAGCCUAAACCUCUCAAACCUCCUUAAUCGUGUGAUCUAAUCUAUCUUAUGUGUUUCUUCAACUUGUAAAUUUUCAUGUUUUUUUUGAGUCACAUUGUCCUAUUAUUUUCUUUAAUGUUCAUAUGCAAUUCAAAUUCAAGAGAUAUUAUAGAACAUUACAUAUUUAUUUCAUCAGAUAGUUGAGAAUCCGAUAGAAAAUGUCUCGCAAACCGGAAAACAAACGUUAAAUCCGGAAAUUAAAACUUUAGAUAAAAAUUAAAAAGAAAAAAAGGAAAAAGCAGAAAUUGAUAUAAAAUCAAAGGUGGAGGAGGGGAUGAGAUAAAGUUUUUGAUAUGUUUUACAAGAAACAAAGCAAAGCAAAGAGAGAGAUUAAGCAUCGGUGAAGCGAGGGGGCUUGUAGGCAAUGAAACUGAUGCACUGCACUUGACGGGUGUUGUCGAAUCCGAUGAUCCUGAUGAAGGCUUCAGGGUACUCCUUCUUGCACUCGUUAACUUCCUUCAACACUUGUGCUGAGUCAGUGCAUCCGAACAAGGGUAGCUUCCACAUUGUCCAGUACCUUCCAUCGUAGUAUCCGGGGGUGUUACCGUGCUCACGGUGCACAAACCCGUUCUAUAAUACAAAAAAACCAAACCACACAUGUUACGACCACAACAACAACAACAACAACAAAAGUCCAAGAUCUAAGCUAGUUUAUGUUUUUUGUUACCUCCAACUCGAAUUCGACACAGGGAAUCCACUUGUUGCGGAGAAGGUAGUCAACUUCCUUUCCCAACUCGACCUCGGAAAGGUCAGGAAGGUAAGAGAGAGUCUCGAACUUCUUCUUUCCGAUCGGAGGCCACACCUUUGAGAUUCAGACAAAACAACAUAUGAGUUCAUGUAAUUCGAAUGAAAAAAAGUUCUUUGAAAGAAGAAGAAAGAAGAAGAAGAAAAAAGAUGUAUGACCUUCAUGCAGCUAACUCUUCCGCCGUUGCUUGUGAUGGAAGUAAUGUCGUUGUUGGCCUUGCGGGUGGAAGGGAAAGCAGCGGAGGACUUAAGUCCGGUGAAAGGAGCGACCAUAGUGGCCUGAGCCGGGGAGGCAACCAUAGUAGCGGAAGAGAGCAUAGAGGAAGCCAUUGUGUUCUUUCUCUUUUACUCUUUUGUGUGACUGAGGUUCUGUCUAGUGCUUUGGUCAUCUAUAUAUAAUGAUAAUAACAAUGAUAACAAUCACUUGAGUGAUCGUAGGGUCGAGGAAUCAUGAGGCUUGAGUGGGAAAGGAUUUAGACCGUUGGAUGAUGAGUGUGUGGAUAUGUGUGUGUGUGUGAGGUUUUAAGUCACUUGGUAACGGCCACAGAAGCCUAAGGUAAGGUCCUGAGAGACCCUUAUCGGUUUGUAACGCUAGAACAGUG